rnacentral:lncRNA from 1 species
AGACCCUGAAGGUCCAGGAGGGUUCAUCGAGCCUAAAUGGCUAGCCUACGGUGAGAUCAUCAACGGGCGUUAUGCUAUGUUGGGUGCAGUAGGUGCGAUUGCCCCUGAAAUACUUGGGAAGGCCGGUCUUAUCCCAGCAGAAACAGCCCUCCCUUGGUUUAGAACCGGUGUGAUCCCACCAGCAGGAACAUACAGCUAUUGGGCAGACCCUUACACUUUGUUUGUGUUCGAGAUGGCACUCAUGGGAUUUGCAGAGCACAGAAGGUUCCAAGACUGGGCCAAACCAGGUUCGAUGGGGAAACAAUAUUUCUUGGGGUUCGAGAAGUACCUUGGAGGGUCUGGUGAGCCGGCAUACCCUGGAGGACCACUGUUUAACCCACUUGGUUUUGGGAAAGAUGAGAAGUCAUUGAAGGAUUUGAAGCUGAAAGAAGUGAAGAAUGGGAGAUUGGCAAUGUUGGCAAUCUUGGGUUACUUCAUACAAGGGCUCGUGACAGGUGUAGGACCAUACCAGAACCUGUUGGAUCACUUGGCUGACCCUUUCAACAACAAUGUCUUGACUAACCUCAAGUUCCAUUAGAUGAAAGUGCCUAUAUUUGUUCCAUGGAACUAUCCCCCCGGCUAAAAGCUCCAUUGCCAAAUCCCUUUCUGCUCCUUUCUUGAUCUCAGUAAAACAUGUGUAAAUUUAUUCUGUAAUCUGCGAGAAAGAACUGAAAUAGACUUUGUUAAUGCCACUGUAAUAUCAUGAGUUUCUUUUUCAUCUCUGUUGCUGAAUGAUAUAUAUAAUAUAUAUAUACACCUAUAUAACUCUGUAAAUAUCUCAUCACAUGAUUAAUUGUGUUCCAGUUCUUUAAGUUUAAUUUACUUGUAAAUCUAAAAUCAGCUCUGUAGCAUAAGCAAUGUCAAGCCAGUUGCAAUAAGUGGCAUACCUUAAGUUACCCAUGAUGCUUGCUUAUCUUUUGUUACACAUCCUAAUAUUUUUUUUAUUAAAUCAAUAUACUUUUAGAUCACUAGGAGAGCACAAUCGAAAAGUUUAUAUGUUUUUAAAAAAAAUCAACAUAAUGAAAUUUGUCUAUAAAAUUGUCAAUUGAAAUUUUUGUGAACCCGAUGCCGAGAAUUACAUUUACUUAUGUCUUUCAUGUCAAAAUGAUUAAUCAGUAGCAUUUUGAUAAUAUUAACAAUUUCCAGAUUAUUAACUUAUAUCUUUAUGUGGUUUUGAAACAAUUAGAUAGUCAUCAAGAAUUCAUCUCAUCGUUUAUGACGUAUUUUCAAGAAAAAAUGUGUUUAUAUGAAAGAUGAUAUCUAAUGAUUUAAUUAUAAAAUUAUUAUUUAGCUCUACAAAUUGCAUAACCUGCACUCCUAGAGUCUUUUAUAUCAAGUUUUGGUUUUCUAAGAUUUGGAAACAACUCCGCACUUUAAAAUAACUCAAAUUUAGUUUAUAACUUUUCCAAAUUUCAUAAGAUGUUUUCAAGGAUUGAUUUUGUGGUACUCUAUUGAGAAUAUAAUUAGCAAUAAAUAUAAUUUCUCUCAUAAAUUUUUAAAGGCACUAGUGUCAUGGGCCGUGAUUCAAUGUCUGUGAUCAUUGUACAAAGAAUGUCUUAUGGAGGUCAAUCUAUUAAAUGAGACUCAUUUGACCUACUUGAACAAUCUUGAUUCAAAGAACAAGGCGGUGGCCCAGCGAAACACUUAUGGAAAACUAGGGCUACCUUGGUAAAUAGGGAAAGUAAUCUUAGAAAAGUUGUAAUAUGAUCAGAUUUGAUUUUGUAAUCAUGGGGUUUAUGCAAAUCCCUUAAUUGUAGAUAUGCUUCAAUCUCGUCCGUCAAUGUAAUGGUAGUUGUACCAUUGGAUUUGGGGGAGCUCAACUAUAAAUAGAGUUACUCCCCCUAUUUGUUAUCAUCCAUUGUAUUUUAUUCUUUGGUUAAAGAAUAUAUUGAGAGCAUUUACUCAAACACAUUGUGUGUUGUUGUUGUUUUUUGUGGCUAUUAUGUUCUUUUGAGCUUUCUUUUAUCUUUAAGUUACUUCCGCUUUAGUUUUCAAUGCCUUGGAGAAUUUCUAUCGAACAUUCUCACUUUGUGAGAGUUAGGCUGACUUAGGCGAAUUUGAAGCAAAGAAAUCGCUUAAGACCGCAUAGAUUGUAAGACGAAAGGUCUAGGCCCCGUGACAAUUGGUAUCAGAGCUAAGAUUGUGAAGGCGUCGAUCUAGAUGAUAAAAAAAUUUAUCGAUCAAAUUAAGCCAAUAGAGACCCACGGAAGGGCUAGAAAAGCAAGCCGAUCGAAGGACAUGUUGUCGUCUUUGGAAAGACGAGUGGUCAAUCUUGAGGAGUUAGUAGGGGAUAUGAGGGAGACACUCGAGGAAGUCAAGGGACGCACUGCCGAGGGGCUACACUCAUUAGAGGUGCAGCACAAGGAAUUUGUGUUGGAGUCUCUCGAUUCCAAUAUGGAAACGAUGCAAUGUGGGAUCAAUUCUACCGAUCAUAAGCUAACAGUGAGGAACGAUGCUCUCGAGGCCAUGGUGAUAGCUUUGAAGGAGGAAACAAUGGCCACGAUGAGGGCUUUAAACACGAGAAUCAAGGAGUCCGAGAAGAGCUUGUCGUGUGUCAAGCCAUCAUGAGAAAAAGAGUAUUGGGUGCAACACUCAAUCGUGAGAUAGAUGUACCGAAGUUAAAAGAGUUUGUAGGGACAAGGUCCACAAAAGAUGUGAACAACUUAUUGUGGAGAAUGGAGCAAUACUUAUGUGCCAAAGGCAUCAUGGACAAUGCUACUAAGGUAAACAUUGUUGCUAUGUAUUUCACUAAUGUUGUUUUGUUAUGAUAACGUCAUAGGUCCACGGAUGAGAAGCGUGGAUGAACCGUAAUUGAAAUUUGGGAGGAGUUCUAAAUGAAAUUCAAGGUACAGUUUUACUCAGAUAUGUCGAGAACGAGGCUCGAGAAAAUUUGUAUUAGCUUACAAACGAGGCACAGUUAGGGAGUUUAGUGAACUCAUGCUCCAGAUUUUUAAUUUGAGCGAGGCGACAUUUUUCUCCUUCAUGGAUGGGUUGAAGCCAUGGGUGAUGCAAAAUUUUCAACGUUGAGGAGUCUAGGAACUUACCGAAGCCAUGACGGUAGAGGAACCCUUAAUUGAACUUGUUUCAAGGAAAGACAAGUUUGAGUCUUCCAAGCCAAAUGGAAGGACAAUGGUAAGGAAGAUGAAAAAGGACAUAGAGAGUAUGACAACAAAAUAGUGGCAAAAGUGGCAACGAAAAACCAUGAAAUAGGAAGUGGAAAACUAACAACAAUCUGAAGGAAAAGGGAAAUAAGAUAAAAUGUUUCAUUUGCAACGGUCCGCAUAUGGUAAGGAAUUGUCCCAAGAGAUCUUUGUUUUCUGCCAUUAAAGGAGAUGAUGAGUCGAAAGAAGCGUCCAUGAAGCUUGGUUCAAUCAUGAAGGGUGUCAAAGCCAAGAGGGCCAAGAGAUAUGAGAAGAAACUAGCAGAGUGCUUCUAGUGUUGUGGGUUGCAUAAGUUGCUAGAUUGCCCAGAGUGAUCUAAGUUAUUUGCAACAAAUAGAUAAGAUAGAUCGGAGCCUAAGGAGGAUAGGCUAUGGUGUUGGAAAAAAUCCAGUUUGUAAAUAGUUUUCUUGCACAGCAAAAAAUAAAAUUUUUGAAAACUAAAUCGAUUUGUAAUAUUUAUAAAAAUAAAUCAAUUAUCGAAUUUGCACCUAUGUUUUCAACUAGACAAAUCAUUAUUGUUCAUGGCUUUCAACCUAAUGCCCUUCUCCACAAUUCUCGUACCACAAACUACUUCGAAUGUAAGCUCGAAUGAUUCGAAUCAAACAUAGAACUAGCAAUAGUUUUCUUAAUUUUUAAUGUGAAAACGGAAAUUCUCUUCUCAAAUAAAAACUAACAGAAAUUGUUAUUCUAGAAAAUAGAUUUAAUAGUUCAGAAUAAAUUCUCUCUAUUUUCGAGCAGAGUAACGAUAUCUUGAAGUUGUGUAUUUUACCCUACCGAUGUCAUCUAUUUAUAGGGAGAGGAAGUAGAACCUUCGUUGAAUUGUAGAUGUUUAUUUCAACUAGAUCUGUCCAUGGGCCGGGCCGGGUUCGGGCCAGGCCCGAAAAAAAUUUCAGCCCGACUCUUAGGCCCGAGCCCGGCCCGAGAAAAAAUAAUAAGCCCGAGCCCGGCCCGGCCCGGUUUUUAAUAAACACAAAAAAAAAUAUUUUAAAAAUAAAAAAUAAAAAAUAUAUAUUUUUAAUGUAUUUUAAAAUUAAAAAAUAAAAAUAAAAAAAAUAUAUUUAUUAUAUUCGGGCAGGGCCGGGCCAAAAAAGUUGAGCCCGAGCCCGGCCCAUUUUUUAAACAGGCCUUGUUUUUUUGCCCAAGCCCAUAUUUCGGGCCUAUAUUUUUACCCGAACCCUCCCAUAUUUCGGGCGGGCCGUCGGGCCGGGCCGGGUCGCCUGGCCCAUGGACAGGUCUAAUUUCAACUUUAAAAACGAACUCUUAGUCUAUUUAGGAGUAUAGAGGGCGACAACACUAGUUAGUAAUACUAGGGUUUGUUGGCUCCCUCAUUAACAUGAGGGGCUUUUGGGCCUCUCCCAUAUCGGGUCCAAAUACAAGUACUUCCUGGAUUUUAACAUGGUACUUUAUAAUUCUAUCCAACUUGAUAUUUGUUUUUUUAUUUCCCAAAAUAAACAUCUCAAUAUAUUUCCAAUUAAAUAAUAUUCUCAACCCAAUUUUAAUUCUGUUAAAAUCAUAAAAUCAUGACGACUUUAUCGUAAAAGAAUUUAUGAGAAAAUAUAUUUAAUAUUUCUAUAUUUCUAUGACCAAAUGAUUUAUUUCCAUUUUUUAAUUUCAUUUAAUUCAAAAAACAUAAAUUCAUUUACAUGUCAUUUUCAUUUUGGUUUUGGAGAAAACCACAUUAAUUUCCAAAUGAUUCCAUUUCUCUAGUUUCAUUUUCAUUUUCGAGAAAACCAUAAUCAUUUCCAAAUGUUUCUCAUUUCUCCAUUUUCACCAUUUCUUUCCAUUUAAGUUCAUUUGAUUCAACAUGCAAUUCAUUUCUGGUUUCAACGAGCUAAUAGAGGGACCGAUUAGACAUAUGUGAUUAGGGCUCAAAUGGCUUAUAAUUAAGUUCCAGCUUUUCGCCUAUUAAUUAUAAACUCAUUUAAUUACAAAGUCAUUCCACUAUAGUAUCACGACUGAGCUCUUGUCCAAUGACCUUGUCAUAAGUGUGCUACCAUCACAGGAUAUCCUUAAUCUCUUUGAGACAAUAUUCGUUCUCCCAAUAUAAUCAUAUUUUAUCUCAUGGUAACCAUUACACUAUAAGAGUCUGUUUUCAGUGAAAUCGAAAUUGUGGUUUCGAGACCACAAAUCUGAGUCAGAAAGAAAAUUUAUUUUGAUAAUAUCGCAUAAUCUGCAUUAUGAUAAGAAAGACAUAUGAAAAUUUUGAUAAGAGAAAAUCGAUUUUAUAUUUAAUUAGGAGGAAAGGACCCAAUUGCAUAAAAUGUAAAAGUUGAAUUCUAGUAGCUAUAGGUAGCAAAUAACUAUAGAAUUCAAAAUUUGAGGUCCUUAUAUAGCAAUUAUACCAUUAAGAGAAGUUAGUAGAUAUUUUUGAUGAUUCAUCCAUGGAAAAUUAGAAAAAGAAAAUGACUAAAUUGGAAAUUGAAAUAAAUAAAAGAUGAUGAAUAAAAUAAAUAUCUAAUAUCAUCAUUUUAUAUCAUCUUUCCCAAUUAAAAAGCCAUGGAAACCCUAGUUUGAGAGCUUGAAGAAAGAGAAAACUUGUUGGGCCAAAUUAGGUGAGUAUUCAAGUCCCGUUUUUAGUAAUUUUUAUAUUUUCGAUAUUGUAAUAACCUAAUCUAUCUAUUUUGGGGAUUAAUUUGAAAAGUUAUCAAAGAAUCAAAGUUUUUCCAUGGAUGAAUAUGCUGAAAUUUUGAAAUUUAUGGUAGAAAAUGAAAGGUUGUUGAUAGAUAAACAACUUUUGUAAAGUGAAUUUUGAUGAAAUUAUGAUUUAGGGACUAAAUUGUAAAGAUGUAAAAUUCAUGGAAAAUUUUCUUAUUUUUAUGAAAUACAUGAGCUGUAAAUGUUAUAUAAAAAUUCAGCUAGGCUUGGACUAAGGAUUGAAUUGUAUGAAUUUCAUUUUUCGAGCCUAGGGACAAAAUUAGAAUUAAUCAAAAGUAUAGGGGCAAAAUGAUACUUUUGCCUAAGAUGUGGAUUAGAUUGAUUUGAAUGUGAAAUGUAAUAAAUUGAUGAUUAAAUUCAUUUAUAUAGAUCCGAAAAGACCAAAUACGAAGUUGGAUUGAGGAAAACAAAAAGUAUCGGAUUAGUAGAUUCUUGUAUACGAACAAGUAUCGAGGUAAGUUCAUGUGUAACACCCCUAACCCGUAUCCGUCGACCAAUUAGGGUUACGAGGCAUUACCGAACAAAACAAAACUCAAUACAGACAUUCAGUAGAAUUCAAUAAUUUAACAUUUAUAUGCAAAUCGUUUGAAUACAGGUUUAAAUCAACUAUUUCCAAAUCAAAAUAUAAACAUUGUUUAUAUAUAUAUAUAUAUUUAAAUAUAUUAAGCUUAGUCAAAUUUUAAGUAAGUAUAAUUAUAAAUUCUACUUUAACCUUUUUAAAACAAAACAUAACAUUUCAAUCCAGUUAAACCAUAAGAAAAUAAGUUAUUUUCGUAUGGCUAUUAAUUAUAUAUACAGCACAUCAAAGUACGACUUCCAAAACAUUAUCUAGCCUAUACAUGCCAUAAGUUAAAAUUUAAACAUUUCAAUACCGAGACAGUAGAUAGAGUGAUGAUCUUUACUGACGAUCCCCGAGUCUGCAGCUUGGUUUUUAUCUAUAAAACAAUUGGACGAAAACAAACAAAGUAAGCUUUUAUAGCUUAGUAAGUCUAUAGCAUAUCUAAAAUACAUAUAAAAGAAUCAUAUAAUUUCUUAAGUAAAUUUAUUGAGAUUACAAAUAUCAAAUAUAAUUACUAUUCAAACAUUGUUAUCUUAAGUCAUUUUGUUUAAAUCUAAAAGAAUGUAUAUUUAACUAAUACACAUAAAUGAACAUAUGUAUAUACAUUAUAUGCAUAUAAUCAAGUUACAAACAUACUGAUUGCUAGUGUACUUAUCGUUUGCACUUCAUCGAUUGCAUUUAUAUAUAUGAUUUUUCAAAUACAUAUGCCAAAAGCAUAUAUUUAUACUUAUCAACUACAAGUGUCGAAUGCACAUAUAUACUUAUAAUCCACAUAUGCCGAAUGCAUACAUAUAUAUAUCCAACAAUUUCAUGACAACCAAUAUAUGUACAUACUCACUAAUCACAAAGAUCCGAACGUUUAUAUGCUCAUCAAAUACAUUGAAACAAAUGUUCAUAUAUUUAUCCAUUACAUAUAACCAAAAUCAUAUAUAUAUAUACCCAAUGCAUAUAAUCACUUAAUUUAAACAGAUUCACUGGCACUUCACCUGCUAGGCUUGUAGCCUGAUUCAGUUCACCGGCACUUAGCCUGCUAGGCUUAUAGCUUGAUUCAGAUCACCGAAACUUAGCCUGCUAGGCUUAUAGCCUGAUUCAGAUCACCGACAAUUAAUCUGAUUGGUACUAAGCUUUAAAAAAAAAUAUCAAUUCACAGAAGUUGUAUCUCAUAUUUGUAUAUAGAAUCCACAUAAAAUUCAGCUCAAUAAUUUAUAAACUAUAUAUUUAAAUAGCAUAGAUGUAUAAAGUUCAAACAUCAAUUCCAACUCAAUAAUUUAAUUAUACAUCCAAACCUAUAUAUAUAACUUAAUGCAUUAAUCUACUACUAAUAUCAUAUAUUCGAUCAUCUUUUAAUAAUCCAAUUAAUAAUUUCAUACUUUCAAUGCUAUUCAAGAACUUUACAUGAAUAAAUACUUGUAUAUUAGCAUAAUCGAACCUCAUGUAACCUUAUAUAAUUGUCAUACCUAAAUUCACUAUAAAAUCAUAUACAUGUAUGUAUACCUGAUCAUUCAAAUAUAACAUAUAUAUAUAAUUACCAACUCACAUAUACAAAUAUAAGUUACAUAUCUUAAUCAAAUCUAAGAGUUUAUACAUAUAUAUAUUUAUAUACAUAUAUUCGGACCUAAUAUACAUAUAUAUGUAUAUAUCAUACUUACCUUGGAUUAAAACCAAGAAUUUAUACAUAUACAACAUUCAUACUUCCACUAAAUUCAAAAACUAUAUAUAUACACAUAUGUAUAUAUAUUCGAUCAUUAUGUAUAUAAUUAUAAAUAUAUAUAUACAUAUUCAUACCUUUAUCUAAAAUCAAGGUUUAUUCAUGCUAUUACAUAUAUUUUUGAAUCUAUCAUAUACAUGUAUAAUUUCUUACCUAAUUUCAUUACAAGAGAUUUUCAUAUAUAUACAUGCCUAUCCGAAUCUCACCUUUACUCAUAUAAAAUUUUAACCUAUAAUUUAACUCAUGAACUUAUACAAGAUUAUACUUGUAUAUUCGAAACUAUCAAAUACUUAUAUAAAAUUUAUACUUAUACUUCAAAUUAUAAACAUUUAAUUACAGCUCAUCAAGUAUACAAUCGAUAUACAUGUAUAAAUAUUGAUUUAAUAACUUUUAAAUUGCUAAUAGACUUACCUCGGACGGUGAAAAGUCGAAACCAGACGAUUAAUCGACAACUUUAGUUUUUCCCGAUCCAACUCCGUUUUCUUCGGUUCUUGAUCUAAAUAUAUUCAAAAUAAGCUAGUUUAAAUAUAAUUACAUUCAAUUUAAUCCAAAAACACUUAAAUAGGUAAAUUAUCAUUUUGCCCCUGACAUUUACACUUUUUACAAUUUAGUCCCUAUUGGAUAAAACACAAAAUACACAAAAUUUGUUCACACCAUACAAAGGCCGAAUGUACCUAUUGUUUAUACAAGUCCUCACAUUUCAUUUAUUUCACAUUUUAGUCCCUUAAAAUUUUAAUUUCACAUUUUAACCCUAAUUACUCAAUUUCACCAAAAAUUCAAAGAUAAAACAUAUUAAUUUUUCACCCAUCUUUCAUAUUUCCUCAUCAACUAUCGAAAAGCUUAAACAUUCAUCAAUGGCAUAUCUCAAAAUCACCGUCAAAUUCUAAAAUUAAAGCAUGGGUCUUGUAGUACACAAAGCAACGAUCUCAAAAACGUAAAAAUUAUCAAAAACCGAAACAAAACUAACCUUAAUCAAGCUAUGAAAGUGCCGAACUUUAGAAAGCCAUAGUUGGGUUCUUCAUGCUUAACAUUCGACUAAGAAAAGAUGAAAACAUUCAUCUUUUCAUCAUUUAUUUUUAAUUAUAAUGUUUAAUUUAACAAUUGACUAAAUUAACCUUAUUAUAAUAAAUAUAUAUAACAUAUAUGUUAAGGUCAAUUAUGUCAUAUGCCACCCACUAUCUACUUUAUGGUCUUAUUGCAUCAUAAAUCCUCCCAUUUAAAAAGACAACAACAAUUAGGUGCUUUUAUAUUUAACCCCUAAAUUUUCAUUUUAUGUGAUUAAGCCCUUUUAUUAAAUCAGACACUUAAAAGACGAAAUUAAAACACGAAAAUUUCACACAAUCAAAUUCACACAUAAUAAACACACAAAAUAAUAUUAAAAUAUUUUUCUAACUCAGAUUUGUGGUCCCGAAACCACUAUAUCCGAUUAGGGUCAAUAUUGGGCUGUUACAUCAUGUAACUAAAUUGUGUACAUUUAUGUAUUUGAAUUAAAUGUUGCAUAUGUGAAUUAUGUAAUUGUCAUGCAUAUGAAAUUGAUCGAAUAUCCGAUAAUGCCCGAUAAGUGUUAAAUCCCGUUUUAACAAAUGAAAAUUGAUGGAUACAAGUUUCCUGUAUUGGUUGUGGUCUUACAUAUGUUGCAGUCACACCAUAGCUCAAAAUAGUAUCCAAUAUAAGCCCUCUCGAGCUUUCCGUUAUAUGGUUCUUGCGAGCUUCCCGUUAAUAGCUCUUUGGAGCAUCUCGAUAGAUUGUGAUACUGCAUGUGUUGUGGGCACACCAUAGCUCUUAUGAGCGUCCUAUUAUAUGACUCUUCGUGAGCUUCCCGAUUAAAGGCUCUUUGUGGGCUUCCUGAUUAAUGGCUCUUCAGAGCUUCCCGAUAUGGCUCGCUUAAACUUCCCGAUAUAUGACUAUCCAGAGCUUCUCGUUACAUGGCUCAUAUGAGCUUCCCGUUAUAUGGCUCAAGAGUAUGCUUCCCGAUUAUGUGCUCUAUGGAGCACUUCCGAAUAUGAAUUGACGGAUUUCAGUUUCGUACACUUCAAGUGUACUACCGGUGUAUCCAUUGAAAUUUCAAAUAAAUUCAGCAGGCAAAGUUUCGAUAUGAGAUAAUAUUAAUUUGAGAUGAAUUAUUUUUAAAUGUAAAAGUUAUAUGAAUAUAUGAUGAGGAAAGCAUAUGUAUAUGAAAUUGUAUUAUGAUGGGCUAAUCUUUGUUACAUGAAAAGUACUUGGAAUUCAUGACUAACAUGCUUGAUGAAGAUUUGUAUGUGUUUAGGCUAUUGAUUUUAUUGGUUUGGAUGUACUAUGAGUGCUUAUUUUAAAUGAAUAUGAUUGGUAAGUAAAUUUCUUGUUAUACGAACUUACUAAGCAUUAUAUGCUUACUCUAUUUAUUUUCCUCUGUUUUAUAGUGCUCGAAAGCUCAUAAAGGUUGGAAAUUGGUAGGAGCAUCAUCACACUAUCAUUCAGCUCAUUUUGGUACAAAUAGCGAACUUAUUUUGGUAUAAUGGCAUGUAUACCAUGUAUAGGCUAAGUUAAGCAAAAUUGAUGACAUGUUUUGGUUGUAACUAGCCAUUGGAAUGGCUAGUGAUAGUAUGGUUAAUGUAUAUGUAUGAGGUUAUACUAUGUUUGAUAUGUAAGUGUGCGUGAUUGGUAUUAUAGGUUUAAAUAUGCUUAAGUAAGAACAUGUUCAAUUGAGUAAGUUGGAUAUUUAAAUCAAUGUCAUGAUAUAUCAUGCAUAAGAAUUGGGUUUUGGCUUGGUUUAAAUGUCUUGGAUUGGUUGGUGAAUGUGCUUAAAUGUGGUUGUAGGUGGAAGACUAAUUAAGUGAGAAAAGUGGCCUUGAAACUGACAUUUUCAUCUACACGGGUUGACACACGGGCAUGUGUCUCAACCGUGUGUGACACACGGCUUGGCCACACGGGCAUGUGUCCCCUGCACCUACUUUUUAAAAAUUAAAUUGUCCACACGGCCUAGCACACAGGUGUGUGAUUGGUCGUGUGACAUAAGUCAGGAUUUAGGUAUGUUAUACUAUGAAUGUCACAAGUGAAUAAAUCCAUAAACGAAUUCAGGAUCUAUUCUUCUUGGGUCCAAUCAGUCACAUCAAUGUCCCUAUCUUUUAGGAGUCAUUGGCUUCGAUGCCCAAGACAAAGCAUCUUCCUUAAUUGAACUUGAUAGACGGUAUAUUAGUCUUUUAAUCGAUUUUCUCAUUUUCGAUUAGACUAAUGGCAUGUUUAGGUUUGUCUACUAAUAUAAGUUAUCUUUUUGUAUUACGAUUCGACUGCACAAUACUACUUAGUAUUAGUUAAACAUUAGACAACCAAUGAGGCAAUAUUUGCUUCUAUUUUACUUUGCAUGCAAAAACCACGUGAGGACAUUAUACAAAGUAUAUUAAUGUAAUUCAUGAAUUAUUUUAUUAACCGAUCUAUUCAAAAAAAUUACAAGUGUGUAUAGACGAAUAUACUACACUUAGAGCAUCAGAUCCAACAGUCAAAAUUAAAUAACAAAGAUUGAAGCAUAAGCCAAAUUGCUCUCCUGAUACAAAAAAAUGAUAAAAAAAAAUCUUAUUACUUGUCGUCUCAUAAGAUAUAGCAAACCUAGUCAUCUAUUAUACACCUUACCAUUAGAAGAAUAAAGCCUCUAAAAUCAUGAAACUUUCCUCACCAAACAAAUUACAACUCUUCAAAAGAAAAAACUUAAACCACCAUCAUUUUAAUAGAUAUUAUCAUAAAACAAUUUAAAAGAGAAAUUAAAUUUUUAUUAUAUUGUCAAUAUCAAAGUUUAAGAUCAAUCUCAAAUAAUUUAUUCCUCUAGGAUGAAAAAAAAAACUUCUUCAAAGAGGGAUUUAAAGUGAAGAAUAAUCUCACUAUUUUUAUCGAAAGAAAAUAAAAUCGUGCAUUUUUAUUUUAUUUUAUUUCGAUAAAUAGUGCAUUUUUAUUCUUAUUAAUUAAAAUUAAACAAUAAAUGAUGAUACUUAAAAGGAAAUCCAUCAAAUAAUUGGUAAACCCAUUUUCUAAUUCACAGACACACGUGUGUAUAUAUAUAUAUUAAGCUUUUUUCCCCCAGGUGGUGACAAAUGUUUAAAGGCAAACAAAUGAUGGUAUGUCGUAGAGAAAGACAAAGACUAUUUGACAGUUGGCCGACCUUUGAAUUGAAUUGCAUUAUAAGGAUGUAACUAAACUACUUACUAUUUUAAAUAUAGAUACCUUUCCAUCAAAUUUAACAUUUUUUUAUUCAAUAACUUGUUUUAGUAAUAAUUAAUGCUAAUACAUGUGUCAUUAUUUUAUCUCUAGAAUACAUGGAACAUAUAAAGGGGCAUGGCUGUGUUAAAUACGGUAAUUUAUGUAUUAAAAAGUGUUGGUUUUUUUUAUCUAUUUUGAAAUUAUUUGAAAAAAAAAAGUUUAAUGGUUAAAAUAUAAAAAAAAAUUUAAAUAGAAAGUUUAAAUGAUUCUUUUGAUAAAAUUAGAGAACUAAAAAAAUUAUUAUAUUUAAAUAAAAUCAACAGGGAAGAGUAGACGACUGAUGGUUGCGGUUCAUCAUGGAUCAAUGAAUGUUCUUGGUGUGUAUAAGGAAAUUAGAUGGAUAGGCUUAAGGAUGGUUGGAGAGGAGAGUUCUAAGUGUCUAUAAGUGGUUUCUUCAUCCCUACUCUGGUAUUAUGAUAAGAGACAAAGAAAAUCCAUACAGAUUAAAUUUGUUGACAACAGAGUUAUAACAUUAUAGGUUAAAUAUGUGACUUUUUGGAUAGUCGAAUAAUCAAUGAGCUCAAAGCUCCAUGUGCAUCUAACAGAGGUGGCUCAGCGAGGGUAUGCUAUAGUAUUGCCUGGUGCUUAUGGUUGUAAUAUAAUUCACUUAUUAAUGACACGUAUAAGAACUUACAAAUAUAUAUAUUGUUAAAAAGGUGAACAUUAAAUUAAAAAAGCAUAUAUCAAUGCCUUGGUUUUUAGGAAAUUUAAAUUAUAAGUUAACGGUUUAAUUAUCUUAGUACCAAAUGCCAAUUAACUCAGUAGUUUAUUAUAUGUAUAGAUUAAAUAAUAAAAUAAAAUAUUGUAAACAAAUAAAAACGGUAAACUCAACCAAGGCAGAUCUAACUGGAGUUACGGUAGUAGCGGUGAAAAUUAAAGAGUCGAGUCGACGGCUCUGUUACUCGUAUCACAACUUUCAUUGGCCAAAAUUUUCUUUUCUGUCUACACAUGACCCUAAUCUCCGAUUUAAUCUCUUGAAAAUACUCGCAAGAAUCCCGGUAGCUUAAACCGUUACCAAGGAAAAGGAAAAGUUAAACCCAUAGGGUUCUGCUUCGUUCCCACGCGUUUUCCGUGGUGUCCAAGGAUCCAAUAUUUCAUCAGUUUCAGUUCCUAUCGAACUUCAACCACCCUAGAUCUGUCUCAGGUUCUUCUUCCAAUCUUCUUGUUUAUCCGUCCUUUUACUGUAAUGGGUUUUUGUUUCUAUAUAUGAUCUGCCAUUUCGUAAUCUGUUCAGUAGUGUGAUCUUUCUUUAUGAACACUUCUUUGAGAAGUUUUUGUUGAAAUAGCUAUUUUUUAUAAAGUAUUUUGCAUUUUGCUAUAGGGAUCUGCUGCUUUUAAUGUUUGAUGUAAUGAAAUUAUUGUAUACGCUGGCAUCUGGGGCUUUUUAUUUUUGGUGUUAAUGUUAAGUUAGGGAUAAAUUUGCAUUGUAACCGAUCGUUGAAUAUUUCUUUGGUGUAGGCUUAUUUGUAUCUUGGGUGCCUCGGGUUACUGUAGCUUAGGUUCGAGCGUAUACUGCAAGAUUUGCUAUUACGAUGGUUUUCCCAGAAAGAAAGAUGCCUGGAGUUUGCUGGGUUUUUCUGUUACUGCUUCUGUUUGCUCAUAUUUGUGAUGGGUUUUACCUUCCGGGAAGUUACAUGCACACGUAUUCGACUGAGGAUACUAUAUUUGCCAAAGUUAAUUCCUUGACUUCCAUUGAAACCGAGCUCCCUUUUAGUUAUUACAGUCUCCCUUACUGCAAGCCUCUUGGUGGAGUAAAGAAAAGUGCCGAGAAUCUUGGUGAACUUCUCAUGGGAGAUCAGAUUGAUAACUCCCCUUAUAGGUUUCGAAUGACUGUGAAUGAGUCUCUCUACCUUUGCACCACCAGCCCCUUGAAUGAGCACGAGGUUAAGCUUUUGAAACAGAGGACUCGUGAUUUGUAUCAAGUGAAUAUGAUUCUAGACAAUUUGCCAGUGAUGAGGAUUGCAAAACAGAACGGGGUUAACAUUCAGUGGACUGGAUUCCCGGUUGGUUAUUCUCCACCAAACAGUAAUGAUGAUUACAUAAUCAAUCAUCUCAAGUUCAAGGUUUUGGUUCAUGAGUAUGAGGGAAGUGGUGCGGAGACAAUUGGAACCGGGGAAGAUGGGAUGGCUGUGUUUCCCAAAGCUGAUAAGAAGAAAGCUUCUGGUUUUGAGAUUGUUGGUUUCGAGGUGGUUCCGUGCAGUGUUAAAUAUGAUCCAAAAGCCAUGACUAAACUUCACAUGUAUGACAAAGUCUCCUCUGUGAACUGCCCCUUGGGGCUCGGCAAGUCGCAGAUAAUAAGGGAACGAGAAAGGAUCUCUUUUACUUACGAGGUUGAAUUCGUUAAAAGUGAUAUUAGAUGGCCAUCUCGGUGGGAUGCUUAUUUGAAGAUGGAAGGGGCACGCGUGCACUGGUUCUCAAUUCUAAAUUCUCUAAUGGUGAUCACUUUCCUUGCUGGUAUUGUGUUUGUCAUCUUCUUGAGGACUGUGAGGAGGGAUUUGACAAGGUACGAGGAACUGGACAAAGAAGCUCAAGCACAAAUGAAUGAGGAGCUUUCUGGGUGGAAGCUUGUUGUAGGAGAUGUCUUCAGAGAACCAGAUUGUCCAAAGCUUCUCUGCGUGAUGAUUGGAGAUGGAGUUCAGAUUAUGGGAAUGGCAGCUGUCACUAUAGUUUUUGCUGCCUUCGGUUUCAUGUCACCAGCUUCACGAGGAAUGCUACUGACAGGGAUGAUUAUUCUUUAUCUUUUCCUGGGUAUUGUGGCUGGGUAUGUUGCUGUACGUCUCUGGAGAACUCUGAAGGGAACUUCAGAAGGAUGGAGGUCUGUUUCGUGGUCCGUUGCGUGCUUCUUUCCUGGAAUUGUCUUUGUUAUCCUUACGGUAUUGAAUUUUAUACUGUGGGGCAGUAAAAGUACUGGUGCAAUCCCCAUUUCCCUGUAUUUUGUACUUUUAUCUCUCUGGUUCUGCAUUUCUGUGCCUCUGACUCUCAUUGGAGGAUUCAUAGGGACCAGAGCUGAAGCUAUUCAGUAUCCUGUAAGAACUAACCAGAUUCCUCGGGAGAUUCCUGCACGCAAAUAUCCAUCAUGGCUUCUUGUUCUUGGUGCUGGGACCCUUCCAUUUGGAACCCUUUUCAUUGAACUCUUCUUCAUCCUAUCUAGCAUCUGGCUUGGCAGGUUUUAUUACGUGUUUGGUUUCUUGCUUAUAGUUCUUCUACUACUGAUCAUCGUUUGUGCCGAAGUGUCAGUGGUCCUUACCUACAUGCAUCUUUGUGUCGAGGACUGGCGAUGGUGGUGGAAGGCUUUCUUUGCUUCGGGUUCAGUAUCACUCUAUGUGUUCCUCUACUCCAUUAAUUACUUGGUCUUUGACCUACAAAGUUUGAGUGGUCCUGUGUCAGCUAUUCUUUAUCUCGGGUACUCAAUGAUCAUGGCAAUUGCGAUAAUGCUGUCAACGGGCACCAUUGGCUUCAUCACAUCAUUCUAUUUUGUCCAUUAUCUCUUCUCCUCCGUCAAGAUCGACUAAAAGUUUCAUUUGGUGAUCUUCAUCAACUGGUGGAAAAGACAUAGGCUUGUAAGAGUAUGAUAUAUCGGUGAAGUUGCCAUUGGUAGCUAAUCAUGUUACACUUAUCAAAGAGACACUCAAAAUCAUUCAAAAUUAUAUGUUAAUUUUGGUGGUGGUUGAGUGUAGGACCUGAUAGAUUUAAAAGUCUGAUUACUAGUUACGAGUUUUUGUUUGGAUUACAUGUAGGAAGUAGUUUGUUGGACGUGAAAUCUUGUAUUUUCUCUCAUAUUUUUAAUCAAAUAGAAACAUUUACUUUCUAAGAUACCAGCUAUGGACCAUCGGCCUUUUAUUACUUCUUGGGCUCAUAAAAGGACCAACCAUAAUAAUGGGGUUAAGAAUAUACAAUUUAAUUUCUUUGUUUAAAUUUCCUUCAUUCUCUCUACAUAGAUUUGAUUGUUAUUCGUUCGAAGGCUCGCUUGAAAAGUAGAAAAGUUUAAGCAAAAAUAUAGAUUUGAAAAAUGACUUAGACAAAAAAAAAUGUUUGUUUUCUAAAUGGGCAAUGGGCCGGGUCUUGAUAGAUUUUUUUAGCUCAAGCCUAGUCGGGCCUGAAUUAGUUGUUUUGCAGUUGUUUCGCUAUUAUCUUGUUAUUAUAUUGCUACUAUUUUGUUAUUAUUUGGAUAUUAUAUAAUUCUUGUUUUCUUGUUUGAAUACUAUAUAACAUUUAUUUUAAUGUUUUAGUGUAUUUGAUUUUUUAUAUUUUUAAAAUUUAUUUUUAUAUAAAAAAAUAAUUUAAAAAAAUUAUUUUGGGCGGGCUGAGACAGGUUCGAGUUUAGCAUUUUUUAUUUGGGCCAGGCUUGAGUAAAAUUUAGGCCUAUUUUUUGGGUUGGGCCUAAAAAUUUGCACCAGCUCGACCCUAACACAGCCUGGCCCAUGAGCAAGUCUAAUUUAGUCUAUAAAUUUUUGUUUUUAAGAAUUUAGUCCCUCUAUUUUUUAGAUUUUAAAAUUUAGAUCUAAUUGUUAACAUUUAUUUUUGUUAAAUUUGUUGGUGUGCUAUUUUGAAAUAAUAAUAAAAAAACUUACUUGGUAGCUAUGUAAUUAAAAAAUAUUUUAUAAUGAAUUUGAAUUUAAUAAAAUAAUUUUAACAAUAUUAAUAAUUGGAUUUAAAUUUUGAAAUAUGUAAGACUAAAUUCUUAAAAGUAGAACUGAAAAAAGAGAAAUGAAAAUCCUAACUAAAUUUUAUAUUUACUGAGUAUACGAAAAUUUAUGGGUUAUUAUUUUUUUUGGUGACAAAAAGAGUACUUAAACUAAUUACAUAGUCUAAAUUGUCCCCCCUAGCAGAGAGACCUCAUACAAGUAUAAAUCAUAUGUUCUAUGUUGAGCUAGUUUAACCAAUCUAUCAGCAUCCUGGUUGUCCUCUCUAGAGAUGUGCCGAAUGUGCUUGCGACCCAUCCGCGUCUGUAGCUGAUGAAUUCUUUUGAUCAAAGCAGAAUUAGAACCAUUUGAAGGCAUCUCCUGAAUAGCUUUAACUAUCUCAAGAUUAUCAGUUUGAAUGAAAACGCCGUCACAACCACGAUCAAUUAAGAGAACCAAGUCAUCCAAGAUGCCCCACAACUCAGCAUAAAAAACGGAGCAAUUCCCCAAAUAUCUAUUAAAGCCCAAAAUCCACUCCCUAUCUCAAUUUCUCGCUAUUCCUUCCGCCGCAACAAAUCCAAUGUCAUUCAUGACAGACCCAUCCGUAUUCAAACAUGCCCAAUUGCCAUCUAAAUGAAGACAUGAUGACAUACCUUGUGACAUAAUCGAUGUGCUCCUCUUAAGAGAGACAUAUUGCCUUGCCCAACUGUAUGACACAUUGAUAAUUUCAUUAGCAUUUUAGGUAACCCCUUGAAAAAUGAAGAGAUUGUGAUUCUUCCAAAGGCACCACGCAAUAAUCCCAAAAAGACAUUGACAGUCCACAUCUCCCAAGCACCAAUCCUGUUGAAUGAAUUAAAAGAUCUCAAAUAUUCCUUGCUACAAUAAGUCCCUAAGAACAUGGAUAACAUCUUUGGAAACAUGACCACAAACCCCACAAGUCGAAUUAUGACCUCAGCCCCUGCGAACCAUUUCCUCUUUGGUAAGUAAUUGAUGUUUGAAAACAAGCCGAAUGAAGAAUCUAACUUGUUGGGGCCCUUGAAAUUUCCAGGAAAUGUGUCACCUUAGAUAUUUUGAUUUGAUUUAAUUUCAACUUUCGAUUUGAUUCGUAAAAUGAGAAAGCGAAUUUGUCAUACAACCAUUAAAACUCCACUUUUCCUUGACAAACUCAAAAAAAUCCAUGUGCUCAACCCAUCCCGUCAGAAAACGAAAAGGACGCCCCUUUGGAACAUACAAUUUAAGCUCCUUUGAGGCAUCGUCUUCCUGCUUCAAUGCCCUUGAAAUCCUAGUAAGCUCCCCCUCACGAAUAUAAUGAAUCCAGAUUCACCGUCGUGAAGCCUGAAACUACUAGCUCAAUAUCAAAAUUUCUGAUAUUCAUGUAACACCUCUAACCCGAAUCCGUCAUUGGAAUAGGGUUACGGAGCAUUACUGGAGUUUACAAAUUAAAUACGGUCAUUUUUCAACUUUCAAAAUUUUUCUUAGAAGUAGGGGACACAUGCCCGUGUCUCUGCUCAUGUGAAUGGAAAUAGGCCAUUAUUAAACAAAAUACCUAUACAUGUCACUAUAUCCAAAAUCUAAUCAUUCGAACAUACCGAUAUAACCAAUUGAUAGUGUGAUAUAUCUCCGACAAGCUUCCAACCCAAUCGAGCUUCCAAUAAUCUGUGGGGUAAAUAAAAACAAAUACGUAAGCAAUGAAUGCUUAGUAAGUUCAUGUAGUCUUUAAUCAAACUAGCUCAUUUAAAAUAUAAAAUCUAUACAUAUCAAGGAUAACCUAAUAUUGAUAUCACAACACUCAUGAAGCUAUAUUCAUCAACUCACAAGGUGAAUAAUUCCACAGUAUCAUUUAAACAUAUUAUCCCAAGCUUAGUAGGAUUUUAAAUAACUCUAAUACUUCAUAAUUUCUUUUGUCAAAUACAAUAUAAUCAAUAAGCACACUUCCUUCAGAUCGAUAUCAAUAAUAAUCUAUAAAUCUUUCAAUUCAAACACAUAAGUCUCUUACCAUUUCUUAUUGAAUCGAAGAACGGCUUACGGAUAUGAAUACAUCGUUCUUUUUAUGCCAUAGUCCAACUAGGGUCUUACACAUGCAUUACCAUGGCUCUGCCAUGGUCUUAUAUUUGUAGUGUCACAACCCAAUUAUGGUUUUAUCCGACAAUUCAUCCUUUGCCACAGAACAAUUGUACUCAAUUCCGCGUUCAAUCUAAACUUAGUAUUAAAUUCGAUAAUAAAUUGCCAAUAACUAUUCAAUUUGGCUUUUAUUAGUUAAUAUCAUAUACUAUCACAUUGAGCCAUUAUUUAUCUCAUAAAUUUUUAGUUCAUGUUUUCAUUUCACAUUUUCAUAUUCAAUUCACAUUUUCAAAUUAUAUUCCACAAUCACGUUUCUUUCAAUAGCUCAACUGUUUCAUUUCGUUCGAUUUAACUUUUCAUUUAAUUACCCCUAUUAACAAAUUCGGGCUUUGGCAGAUAUGUGGAUUCCAACCAAACACACCAGUACGGCACAUUGUGCCUAAAACGGUACAUAGUACCUGAUCAGUAUACGACACAUAAGUGCCUGAUACGACACACGAUGUGCCUAAAAUACGACACACGAGGUGCCUGAAAUACGACACAUAAAGUGCCUGAUGUACGACACAUAAAGUGCCUGAUCGGUAAAGCCGAUAAAUUCCCGUACUCUUCUAAUCUUAUGGCAUGCCAACUAUAUCCGACUCAGCCCGAUUAGUUAAUAGGGUUUUCAAUUCUCAAUUCAAUUUCACAUUCAUUCCAAGAGCUACUUUCAAUAUCAAAUUCACUUUUUCAUUCACGAAUCAAAUUUCAAUUCAAUACUAACACAUAUUUCUUAUUCCAUUCAAUUUUCUAAAUUCAGUUCAAUACUAACACAUAUACAUAUAUAUUAUUCAUCACCAAAUAACAUUCACUUUAAUCAAAAUUUUACAGAAUAUUGUUCAUACGAACUUACUAAGUUAAUUUGCAGAAAUACCAAGAUAUAGGGGCAUUUUGGUAAUUUUUCAUUUCUCUCAAUUUUCUACCCGAUCUUAAUCUAAGUUAAUAUUUCAUUCAAUUUAUUAACUUAAAUAAUAAAACAAUUCAUUUCAUGCAAUUUUGUUAUUUUUUAUAUUUUUACAAAAUUACCCUAAAAAUUUACUUUUAUUCAAUUUAGUCCCUGAACAUAUAACAUGUAAAUAAGCUAUUUUAAGAUAAACUCAUAUUAGCUGAAUAUUUACAUAUAUUUUUCCUCCUCCACUCCAUUCCACAUCCUUGAUAUAUACAUAAUACCACUAUUUACUUGUUUACUCAUAACAAGCUGUUUACUUGAGUCAUAGUCACUAAAUUAAUUAUACCUUAAGCUACAGAACACCAAAUUGAGAUCCGUUAAUUUUAUAUGAAACUAGACUCACAUAUGUUAUUACCAUAAAAAUUUUCAGAAUUUUUGGUUUAGCAAAUAAGUACAGUUUAUUCUUUAAAAUCAUCUCUAUCCUGUUGUUUGACAGUUUUGACCCUUCUUCACUAAAAAUUAAUUAUCUCCUCGUACGGGAUUUAUAUGAUGUUCCCAUUUAUUUAUAUUAAAAAUAGACUCAUUAAUUAUUUUAAUCAUGUAAAUUUAACCCCUAAUUAUUUUUCUCAAAUUUUUUAUGAUUUUUUAAAGUCAGAACAGAGGAACCCGAAUUCAUUCUGACCUUGUCUCACAAAAUUUAUUAUAUCUCAUGAUUUACAAUUUCAUUACUUACACCGUUUCUUCUAUAAGAAACUGGACUCAAUAAUAUUUAAUUCCAUAUUUUUCUCAUCCUCUAAUUCGAUUUUCACGAUUUAUAGUGAUUUUUCAAAGUUAACCUACUGCUGCUGUCCAAAACUAUUUUAGUGAAAGAUGUUGAUUACUAAGUUUAUAACUCCCUUAUUCCCUUUCUCUAUAAUAUUUCCCAUCACUUUCACUUAUUUCCCUUCACUAAUAUAUCAUGAACAUAAGACCUUAUAUAAGAAAACUCUAUUAUAACAUCAUUUCCAUGCUUUUUCAAUAAUAUCAAACUUAAAAAUAUAUUGAAAUCUUGAUGUUCUUACCUUGUCAUAUUGAUUUCAAUCUUUAACUUGAUUUUCUCUCUCCUCCAGUUUCUAUUUCUUGAAUCUAACUUGAUAUUUUAGCUCCCCAUAGUCUCCUUGUUAUCUUUCUCUCUUGAGGGAUAUGGAAAUUCUUUUGAUUUCUAGGUGAAAAUGAUAAAUUUUUAGUAGAAGGACCAAAUUGUAAAGAAAGCAAAAUUUUCUUUCUUCUCUUCCCUUCUAACGUGAACUGCAUGGAAAGAUGGCGGGAUGGAUGAUUCUUCAUCUUCCUUUUCUUAUAUAUACUAAAUAAAAUACUAAUAAAAUAAUAAAAUAUUAUUUUAAAACUGAAUUAAAAUAUUAAUAAACUAAUAUUUAUUUAAUUAAUUAAUCUAAAAUAUCUCCACAUCAUUAUCUUCUAGAUUUCUCUCUCUUCUAUUUGACCAUUUUGCCCUUCAUAAUCUUUAAAAAUUUCAUUCUUUAGUCAUCACUUAAUUUGAUAAAAUUAUGAUUUAGUCCCUCAAAAUUCUUCACAUUUUCAAUUUGGUCCUAAUUCAUCCAUUUUCCUUAAUUUCUAGAUUAUUCUACCAUUAAAAUAUUUUCACUAUUAGUCCUUUAACUUUUUUAUAUUUACACUUUAACCCCUCAAAUUUUGAGUAUUUACUCUUGGGCAACAAAACUUUUUUCAUUUUUGCAAUUUAAUAAUUUCUUGUAUUAAUAUGUCAUAAUAUGCUUCUCAAUGUUGACAUAACUCAAAAUUUCCCUUUUUGUCACUUUAUUUCCUUAUUUUACUAUAUUAAGGAUACCUACUUUCUUACCGUAGACUGUAGUAAUUUUCGGGAUAUUACAAUUCAAAUCCAACUCGCACUUCAGCAUAAAAUGAUUAUCAUCUACCAAAAAGUUAACAGUACCUCGGGCUUUUGACCCGAAAUACAUGGUUUUCUUUUAGCUUCAUAGAUUUUCAAUGAGCAGCCAACUUUUGGCGCCAUUUAUCAUUCUCAGCUUAUGUAUCAUAAGCAAUUCAAGCCACUUUAACAAGGGAAAAUACUAUUAAGGAAAUGCAGCAAGAGUUUCAGACUUAACAGUUAUUUCAGUCUUAUGCAAGGAUGGAAAGCCCUUAGAAACAUAAACUGGGUUUUUUCAGUACAGUUUUCUUUUUUUUGAACGGUGCUACGGAAACCUUGAACCUUGUCCUACUUCAACCAAUCUUGCAGAUCGUUAUAGUUAAUGCAACCAUGAAGAUUGUCAAAGUUAAAGCUAGCAUCGAGGUUGAUUGGUUCAUUAUCAUCCCAAUUCAGAAGGGCUUCUAUCAGGUCCUCAUCUUCUGUCUCACUGCCAGGAAGCACAGGCGAAGUUUCCUGAUGCGAACUUGCAGGAUAGCCAUUUGGAGUCGACAAGCUUUCAGGUGCAAGGUAAAGAGAGGUUUGAGGCUGAUGUCCGGAAGGUGGAACCUCUUGAAGGCAGGGAUUGGCUUGGCCUGUCGGUGCAUCAUAUGUAGGAGGACAGGCGUUCUGCUGGUUAACAUAAAACUGUGGUGAUGCAGCCACCGUUCCGAAAUCAGAUGGGCCAGGCAUUGUUGCGAAUGUUCCUAAACCAGACGAGGAUUGCCCUUGCCCAUAGGGAAAUGCAUUUCCAGUAGCUGCACCGCCUAAAUGCUGAUUGGCCAGUGCAGUGUUUAGAUUUGUCCUUUGUGAUUCCAUAUACCAUAGAAAAUGCUUCUGGGCCUGCAAAAUCAUUGCUUUGGAUGCUGAACAAAUAUAUCUAGUUGGCCAAAAGCAUAAAAAACAAACAAAGAACAUCUAAUCUAAGACUUCCCAAAAGGGAUUUAAGUUAAAACAAUUGAAAUUUCAAUUUCUACAAGAUGAUUAUAAAUUUCCUAAACAAACUCGCCUGAAGUUGCAUAUAGAGUCUUCCACGAGGUUCCUUUUUGGGUCCUCGAUUUCUUUUAGCUUUAGCUCUCCUGCAUAAUGUAUGCCAAUAAGCCACAAUAGAGAAUAAAAAUCUUAAACCAGCUAAGCAGAUAAGCAAAUUAAACCUGUUAGGCUCCUUGUUCUGAGAUGGUGAGUUCAAAGCUCUGAGGCUCCGCGCGCCUCCUUGAUGUUGAGAAACUGCCGUUUUUAGAACACAUGAUCAGCUUGAAUACCAACAUGUCAUUCACAAGUUGCUCAUCUAAGUUCAAACAUCAGUCUAAAUAAAAAUAAGAUUCCUUCAUGUGUUUGAGUUCAAUUUGUUUUGCUUUCCGUCACAUUCAAAGGUGGGACAGAUUAUCCUGAAAUUUCAUAUAAUGCACCAGAAAUUUUUUCUAUUACAUGUCAGCUGAUGCACAAAGUGAACCAUAGAGCAACGGAAAUAAGGCCGAGAAAUAUCAUAAAAGCCUCUCACUCAUAAUUGUACAUACAAUCUAAAGUGAAGAGCCAUUGAAAUUUUCCAGUUAGGCUUCUAUAAUUGUACAUACAAUCUAAAGUGCUACUAUAACACAAAUACCAGUGAAUGAAAUGUUCCCAUCUUAGAAAGUUGGGGUGCUAGAAAACAUCCAAAUUGUUACCGUUUCCUAAUUAAAAGAUGGUCUUUGGAAAGAACGGAUAUCGAACAAGUUGUUAAAUAAGAACACAAUAAAAUGAAUCAAUUCGCAUGUUUAAUAUAACAUUAAGAAUGAAAGCAGGUAGAUAUAACAAGACCUACCAUUUUUGGAUGUGUCCUGCCACUCCUUCACCCAAAAUUUUCCCAGUCUAAAUUUCUGGAAUUCAGCAACAUUAGGGGAAUAAAUGAUAAACCCUCAUAAGGAAAGUUGGUUUUAAGGGCUAAAAUGGAAAUGCGUAAGUUAAAUAUAAAAACUUACUUGUAAAUGACUCUUAACAUGGUAAAGAUUGAGUCCAUCUAAAUCCAUCAGGUCCAGAAUAGUCUUCGGUGUUGCUUCUGCAAAUAAGAUUUAUGGUCAGUUCUAUGGAUAAUUAACAGUUACUUCAGGUGCAAGGUAGCUUACCAGCAGCAACGGCAGAGCCCCACAGUAACUCUAAGAAUUCAGUACUAUUGAGAAAAAAUAUAUACAUAGUUGAGUUUUGGAGACCAAAAAGCACAAGCCAAAGUUCAGUUCAUGCAUGAGGACUACCCGGUAACACAUGUCAUCCAAAAAGGAAGAAACAAGCAUGAAAUUCUCUAGUAGCAACUUACGAAAGAGCCUGAACAGGAUCCAAAUUUAAAUCACAAAAGAAUAUGGAAAUUACAUAUAAGCAAUUACACAAACAACGACCAUAAAAGCAAUAAACUAGUAGUUAAGAAGAGGUGAAAGGCUAGGUGGUUGUCAUCGAACUAUUAAGGUUUACAUCCUCUCGUAAUUCUCUUUCUAUAAUUUCACAUAUAUUCUGUAUUUGAUUAAAGAAUGGCCUUUCAUUCAGUUCUAUCCAUGGCAUCAUGUAAUGGUUCAUUCGUAGAACAAAAGUUACUUACAAAUGGAGCUCACACCUUAUUGCAAGGUCAAACUUUCAGCUAAUAGAAAACAGGUCUAACAAUAAAACAAGCAUAAACUUGCAUUUGUUCCCAUCUGCAGGCUUCUAGAGAUGCUCUAUUUUUCGGUAACGUCAACAGUUAGAAUAAUGGGAACAAAUCCAAAGUCAUCAAACAUCUGUGUAACGGUAUACAAGCCGACAAACUUGCAGUUGGUAUCAUCAAAAACAUUAUUGAAGAAGUCUUUUCUUCAUCAUACAUCAUCGAUGCUAAGUAAAACCGUUAGGGAAUGACGUAAAGCAUUAAACGGAAACGUAUCCAAAAAGAGCACGACAAAAUACAGGUUGACCACCUUUCUAAAAACAUCUGGCAGUGUUCAACAAUAUUCCUAGAACGAAAUGUAACAGUUCCGCAAAUAUAUAUAUGUGCGUGUGCAUGCGUGCACGCCCACUCGCCCGCCUACCAAUUUAACAUUUAUAAUACAGUUGCUAAUCGACAAAUAUUUCGUCAGCAGCCAUCAAGAAGCUAUACAAAAUAUGUAGAUUACCGUUAACUCAAUCUAAUUUAACACAUCUGCAUAGAAAGGUAGAAAGGCACUAGAAAACCUAUAUGAUCAAAAGAAUGUCACUUUUGAGCCAAUCUUAUUUGGCAUUAUCAAAAGAACAUUAGUUUCUUUUAAGCAGGCAAAGGUAAGCAAUGGGAAUGAUACGAAUUUACACAAAGGGAGAAGAGAAGGCAGAAAACCACCUGCUCAAGAUUAGAAGCUUAAGCAAGAUAAUAAUUACAUAUACUCAAACAAAGAAAGGAACCUAGCAACAUGCAGUUAAAGAAAACAAGAAACUAUAUGAGGGGAAAUUUUAAUAUGGAUUGCUGCAUCUUUGAAUGCUUGGAACAUAUGAAUUUCGUCUGAAGACAAAAAAUUAGAGGAGGUCCAUUUCUCUAAAUAAGGAUCAAAGAAUUCCAGUAUUAAAUAAUUUAAACACCCUUAGAUUUGAUGAAAAGUAGUAACACAUGCUAACAGCAAGCCAACCGAAUUUACUUCCCAAACAAACAAGCAUAUAAUACAAAAAAAAUUAUGGAAAAGAAAAAUCUUAGAAGUUUGAGCGAGAAAAAUGCAGCUAGAGGGGAAUUCAAGCAUUCAACAUAAAAUCUAAAACCACUAAGGCAGCCUGGGGUGCUAGAUGCAUGUUAGAAAUGGAUGAAUAUAUGAAACAAUCCCUCCUUGGACAUGUUAACACUUAAAACAACAUGCAGGUUAUUUCAGAUUGUUAUAGAGGGGAAAAAAUCAAGCUAUUUUAUGAGUGACUCUCUUGUGCCUACUACACAUCAACAAAGAUGAACAUGAUGCAGUCAUUCAAGUAUUCACAUGUUUUAUCCAUUAUCAACUGAUCUAACAUUUUGGAGACAAUGAAGUAGAGAAUAAGUGGGGGGGAAUGAACACUGACUUUGAGGACCACCAAGCUUGUUGACAGCAUCAACGAAAUAAGCAUGGAGUUCAUAAGUCCAUCGAAGGCGAGGUUUAAUCUCAUUAGUCACCAUGAGGAUAGGUUUCUCCUUUACCACCACCUCGUUAUUAACAACCUGAUCAUCAUUAAUCUCAACAGGGAUAGAAGGUCCCUGAGUUUCUUGCAAAGCAAGCAAUGUGUUAUGACCACCGCCCUGAAUUUGGUGGUGGUCACCUUGGUUAUCCCCAUUCACAUCACCUUCAUGACCACCCACUGCUUCUUUUCCUUUUUCCGUCCUUUUAAACUCACCAGGAUUUUGAUUCACAACGUUGUUUUCCAUCAUCGAAUCACUCUUUCACUUCCACUCUACAAGUCAGCCUACAACUCUAGCUCCUGUUUUUUUUCCUAAACAACACUGUCUUACAGUGUUGUUGCAGGUUAAUUUGCAACAAGAAAACAAGGCUACCCAAGAUAUAGAACAGGGAAAUAAACAAAAACAUGGCAAUAAAACAUGACAUUACCCCCACAAAACAAGAAGAAAAAGCUGUGGACCCCACAGUAACUGUGGGGGCCACAGGACUAAACAGCAAUAAACAGAGAGAAAUUAGAGUAAUAAAUAAAAAGUUAAGAACAACAAUCCAAAGUUAGACACAACGGCUGAUUUGUAAUUAUCUUGAUAUUGGUAAAAGAGAAAAAGAGUGAAACUGCGGAAUAGUGAAAGGGAGACUUUUGAACUAAUUCAACCAAGGGAGAGGAAAUCGAGGGGAAGGGAAGGGAGGAGAUAUAAACUUACGUUCCAGGUGGGUGCCAAUGCUGACGUUGGUGGCGGAGCAUGUGACGUGUACGGUGGGCCGAAGUUGUGGUGCAGUGAGUCAGCAAGAAAAGGGAAAGGUAUGCGUUUAGUUUGGUGAGUGAGGUGCAUGGGAUGAGAGGCGCAACGUGGAAGAAGAAGUUGUUCGGGGUUUGGUUUUUUCUACUUAAUUACAGAGUCCAGGUGUGGUUUAAGUGUGGAUUUGGCAUUUGAAACUGCCGUCGAUGAUGACUCAAUGGUCAUUAACCCAUCUUUUACUAGACAAAAAAGAUGACCCAAUUCUUCCUUUCUUCAAAUACUAUCUUUUUCUUAUUGCCAAAUUUUCUUCAUCCAAUUUGGAAAGAAAAUGAAUAGUUUUUGGUAAUUUUGAGAAAUUAAUCCAAAGUCUAAACUACAUACUUAUGUAAAUUUUUGUUUUGUCAACAAAAAAGAAAAUCUCAAUAAUAACAUUUCCAGUUUUCUAAUUUUAGAAUUUUAGUCAACUUAUGUAAAUGGCAAGUAAAUAGUUUUUUUUUUCUUUGAAUAACUUAUUGGUUCUAAUAUGAGAAGCCUUCCCAGCCCAAAAAUAGGAGGAUAAUCUGCUUCAACAUACUCGAACUCUCCUGCAUUGAUAACAAUAUUUAUGCCAAUCGAGUUAAGAGUCAAUCGACAAAGUAAAUAUUUUUAUGUUAUGUAUUAACUCAAAAUAUAACUAGAUUAGGUGAAUUUUUUUUAUGAAACAAAUUAGUAAAAAAAUAUUAUAUAAGAUCCAAUUGUGAUUUUACUUGAAAUGAUGAUAUUGAGAUAGUAAAAAUUUUAAUAAUUUAAAUUCAAAUCUUAUUAUGCUUCUUUAUUUUUUUAGAUUUUAUAUAAAAAUUAUAAAAAAAUUUAAAUGAUAUUUUAGUUCUUAAUUAAAUUGAUGUCUAAUUGACUCGUGAUGCUAACUUAUUUAGAGGCUUAAUAUAUAAUAUGGAUUAUAUAAAUAUUUAUCUUUUUAUUAUUUAAAUUAUUGAUUGAGUUGAUGUUAGGAAUUAAUCGAACAUCGAUUGAAUUAAAGGCAGGGACUUUUUAUUUUAUUUUUAUUUUUGUUUUUAAAAUCUCAAUUAAGUCCCUUCAAAAUUUUAUAAAUUCUCAUUAAGUUUCCAACGUUUUGAAAAUUUAAUUAGACCCCACUUUUUUAAAAGUUCUCAUUAAACCCUUAUAAUUUUAAAAUUUUUAGUUAGAUAUCAAAAUUUUAAUGCUAAAACCCACUAGUUAGAUAUCAAGAUAGUUGAAAUAGGAUAGAGAAGUAAUUUUAUAAUUCUUAAAUAUUUCUAAUGAAAUUAGAGGUGUAUUUGUUUUCAUAGAAAAUUGAUUUUUUUUUUUUUUGCAUUUCUCUAUGUAAAUAAUUUUGUUAAGGGAAAAUGACUUUUUGGUUAGCUGAAAAUAAGUCUAACUUUUUUAAAAAAUUGUCUUCCUCUUUUGAAAAGUGUAAAUUAUUUUUCGAGAAAAUUUCUCAUACGAGUAAGAUUUUUAUAUAAAAAUUAACUCAAGUUAAAUAUUAUAAUAAUAACUUUUUAAAUUUAUUUUUUAAAAUAUUUAAAAAUUUAAAAAUAUGGAUACCAAAUAUUAAUUUUCAGAAUCAUCAAAAUAUACAUAUUUAUAAUUAAUUUAAUUUAUUAUUUUAAUAAAUUAUUUGAUAUUAUAGUUUUAGUAAUAAAUUUAAAAUUAAUUUAAAAUUUUAAAUGAUAUUCUAAAUAUUUUUAUUGAAAUAUAUUUUAUAUUAAUAUUUUAAUAAAUACAUUAUCAAUUAUAAAUAUUAGUAACGAAUCUUUUAUAGUAUAAAAUAUAAAUAUUUUAAUAAUAUAAAUAUAAGUAUUUACUUAAGUUCUGCUUAGCUUUGUUUAUGCCUUCCGUUUUUAAUGUGAUACUAUCCACUCUUUAUAUAUGUUAUAUAUUAAUUUUUACUUAAUUUUAAUUAGGCAUUGGUUAUUAUUAAGUCUAUAUAAGAUAUUAUCUUAUUAUAAAAUAGAUGUCAAUUGUCAAGGGGGAAUGCUUCUAUAAUAUUUCGUAACUAAUGUAAUUUAUAUUGUGUUUGUUUAACUAAAACAACUUUCAAAAAUAAUUUUAACAAAAUUUGUCAUACAGCAAAAACUAUUUUACGCAUAACAUCCAAACAUUAGAAAAUCAAUUCAUUUUCCAAAAAUUAUUUUUUAGAACUUGUUUUUAAUUAAACAAAACACUCAAAAUUCGUGAAGAAUUAAAAGAAGGGGGAUAAUAUAAUUUUUUGCCCCUUUAAUAUCUUUACUUUUUUUUUUGUUUAUUUUGGCACUUGAACUUGACAAUUAGGUCCAGUUUUGUAUUUAGAGUUGAAAAAUAUAAAAGUUCGGUGAUAUGUCAUCUAAGAUUGUAUCGCAUCUUGAUUUUUUAAAAUAUAUAUAAAAAUAAUCUGGUGAUGACAUUGUGCAAUAUUACCAAUGGUUGAACGGUCAAACCACUAGUUUCCGAUUCAACUGAUCCGACCGUUAGACCAAUAAUAAUUAAAUAAUUAAUUAAAAAUUCAUAGGAAUCUAAAAAUUAUAAAAAAAAAUUAUUAAAUUGGUUCAACAUGUUCAACUGCUAAUUUUUGUUCUAAUUUUCUGUUUUUUUAUCAAUUUCAAGCAGUUUCUAAUUCAAUUGAUUCAAUCUCUUUGUUUGGACCGCUAUACCAAUCAGUUCUCGAUACAAUUAGUUCGAUCGACCGAUUCAGUUUUAUUCUAGUAACACUAGUUACAUCAUCAAAUCUUAAUGAAAUUCAAAUUCAAUGACCGAAAUGAAUGUAAUUGUCAACUUCAGGUGUUAGAGUGGACAAAAAAAAAGUACAAAUAUCAAAACGAACCUAGUUGCUAAGUUCAGAAGUAAAAAAUUAUAUUAUCCCCAGAAUAAAUUAUUCGUUCACAAUUUUAACUACUUUUACAAAAACCAAUAAAAAUAUGCAUAUUGUAGGAUUUGAAUCCAAAUUAAUUUGGAUUUAUAAAACCUUAUAUUUACCACUCAACCAAAGCUUCAUUUUAAUAUGUUUUAUAUAUAUUUAUUUCAAUUUACACAAUUUAUUAUCUCCAUUAAUUGUAUGUAUUAAUAAUGUUAUUAAUUGAGUUUCAAACCAUAUAUUUCAUUAUCUAUUGUAUGUUAUUUUAAAACAUUCAUCUAUGUUCUAAAUUAGUGGUUUUCACAUGCAUAUGCGUAUAAUAGGAUUUCUUGUUAUUAUAUUAUAACCCUUGACUGAGUUGGUGUCACGGGUUAACCGAGUAUCAACUCGGUUAAGAAAUUACUACUAUAUCCCUUUAUUAAAUGACUACUAUUAUUAUUUUGAUGGUUUUUUUUUGUCUUUUCAUACUUUUAUAUGGUUUUUAAAUAAAAUAACUAAAAUUAAAAUAUCUAGGAAUUGAACUUAACUUUAAUGGAUUUAUAAACAAAUUUUUUACCAAUACACAAAAAAUAAUUCAUGGGCAAACUUAAAAAAGUUAACUACUAACAUAAAAUAUUUUCUCUCAACUAAUUUGUGUAUCUAUAUCUAUUUAUACUAUUAUUAUCUAUACUAUUAAUAAAAUCUCUAAUUAAGUUGGUGUUACGAGUCAACCGAGCACCAACUUGGUUAGAGAAAUUACAAAGAUGACAUUACAUAAUUAAAAUAAAUUAUAUUAUUUUUUGAUACUUUAGUCUUUAUUUUAACAAAAACCAAUAAAAAUAUGCGUAUUGUAGGAUUUGAACAUAUGCCAAUUAAAUUAGUAAAAUCUUAAAGUUACUAUUCAACAAAAGUUUUAUUUUAUUAUCUUCCAUAUGCUUUUAUUUUAAUAGGCACAAUUUAUUACUUUCAUCAGUUGUAUAAAAUCUUAACUGUGUUGGUGUUACGAGUCAACUGAGCACCAACUCGAUUAGAGAAAUUACAAAAAUGACCUUUCGUAAUUAAAAUAAGUUAUAUUAUUUUAGGGUACUUUAGUAUUUUUAUUUUAAUAAAAACCAAUAAAAAUAUGCAUAUAAUAGGAUUUGAACUCAUGCUAAUUAAAUUAAUAAGAUCUUAAAUUUACCAUUAAACUAAAGUUUCAUUUUAUUAUUUUCAUAUGUUUUUAAAUCACUAUGCACAAUUUAGCCUUUUAAUUUUAAUAAAAAUGCAUAUAAUAGGAGCUGAAUUCAUGUUAAUUAAAUUAAUAAGAUCUUAAAUUUACCAUUCAACUAAAGUUUCAUUUUAUUAUUUUCAUAUGUUUUUAAAUUACUACGCACCAUUUAUUACUUUCUCAAUUGUAUAGCUAUACUAUUAAUAAAGUUCAUGGUUGAAUUGGUAUCAUGAGUCAACCGACACCAAUUUAGUUAGGGAAAUUAUAAAAAUGACCUUCCAUGUUAAAACAAGUUAUAUUAUUUGAGGGUACUUUUGUCUUUUUAAUUUUAAAAAAUAAAAAUAUACAUAUGAUGGGAUUUAAACUUAUUGCAUUAGAAAAACUUCAAAUUUAUCACUCAACCAAGACUUUAUUUUGAUUUACUAAUACAUUUUAAUUUUAUUAUGCACCCUUUGUUAUCACUAUCAAUUGUAUAUUUAUACUAUUAAUAAAAUACUUGACUAAGGUGGUAUCACGAAUCAAUCGGGCACCAAUUUAGUUAGGAAAAUUAUAAAAAUGACCAUCUGUAUUUAAAAUAAGUUAAGGGUACUUUAGUCUUUUAUUAAAAAAUAAAAAAAAGUGCACAUUGUUGGAUUAGAACUCAUGCUAUACACAACAAUAAAAUUUUAAUUUACCACUAAACCAAAAUUAUAUUUUAAUAUAAUAUUUAAAAUUUAAUUGUAUUUUAAGUAUGUAUUUUCACACGUAUAUGCGUGUGAUAGGUAUACUAGUAUUGAUAAUAUUAUUGAUUGUGAUAGUGUCACAAGCUAACUUGACAUCAACUCAAGAUUGAUGACAAAACCAUGGUAAACAAUUGUAAUGCAUUUAAUAUUCUUUAUUUAAUGUGUUUACGUGUUUAAAUUCUGUAAUACUCACAAUUUAAUAUUUUUUUCUUUUUAAUAUCAUACAUAUUGCAUGCAUUAUCAUUGUUAAUUAGUUUCAAACCAUACAUUUCAUUAUUUAUUUAUGUUAUUUUUAAAUAUAUCCCUAUGUUUUAACUAUGUAGUUUUCACAUGCAUACAUGUGUAAUAGAAUUUUUAAUACUUAUAUAAAGUGCUUUAUUGAGUUUAGUGUUACGACUUAACUCAAUACCAAUUCAGUUAGGAAAUUACUUAAAAGCCUUCUUUUAGAAAAGACUGUAAUACUAAUAUAAUCGUGUUUUUCGCCUUUUAUUAUUUUUAUAUGAAAUAUUUAAAUAAAAUAACUAAAAAUGUAAGGUCUAAUGAUUGAACUUGAGUCUAAAAAGUGUUUAAUCAUAGGCAAUUUACCAUUUCACCUACAUACACAAAUUUUUUAUAAAUAUAAAUAUAAUAUUAUGUUCUUCUUUCACAUAGGUAGGUAUGAUAAAAUCUAGAUUAUUUUAUUUGUGUCACCCACAUAAUCAAUAUUAUAGAACUAUAAUAUUUAAUUUUAAAAUUUUGAAGGAAAAAAAAUACUCAUCUACAAUAUAUAUAAAAGAACAAAUUGAAGAAACUUUUAAGUUGGAUUCUUUUAUCGUAUUACUAAAUUGAAAUUUUAAAAUAAUGAAUUAUUAUUAAAAUAAUUAUAAUUUUAUUUAAAUUUAAUAGUUAAAAAUUUAACGUAAACUAAUGUGAUAAAAAAUGCAUAUAAUGAUAUUUUCAUUCUCAUUGUUAAAAAAUUUAUGAUUUAAUUUAGAUUCAAUAGUUAAAAAAUGUCGAGGUAAAAUAUUAUGAUAAUAAUUAUGAUACCUCAAGUUAUAAUUUAAUAAAUUAGAUUUAAUAGUUAAAAUUUAUAAUUUAAAUACGAUAACUCAGUUAAAUAAAAGAUUGAUAUAAAAUUGAAUUUUAAUUUGAAUUGAAUUAAUUAUUGUAACCAUAUAACAUAGAAGAGAUUUUAUAUACCAAUUAUUGAUUAAUUAAUAUUAGCAUUAUAAAUCAAUUAAAAGGUAAGUUUAGUUAUAUAAAUAGCAUUCAUUAGGCAUAUUUAACCGAGUAGCAAUUAAGAAAAAUUAUCAGUAUAAAAAUUUAUAGUCGUUAACAUUAAUAAGUUAAAAAUAUCUAAAAAAUAACAGAGAAUUAAAAUAAUAAUUAUUCGAUGAGGCAUUAUUAAAAUAUAUUUGAAUAACUUAGACACAAGAAAAAGAUGAAAGAUUAUUUUAAUAGAUGACAAGAGCCUUAAACCUUGGGUUGAUGAUGUCACUCGCCGUAGAGUUGAGGGCAGUGGACCACAACUGCCAGUGGCAAGUGGCGUUGUAGGACUGAAUGGGCUUUUUGUCUUCCUAAACUGACGCUUUAAUCUUGUUAUUUCAUAGUCUUAGGCUUCGUUUGGAUGGGCGAUUGACUGCGGUGAGGUGCGUUUAGCUUACUUUUUGUCUCACGCUACAGUAUUGCUACAGUAUCUAAUUUCACCGCCAACUCUAUUUUUACACUAACCGCAGCUAAACGCACCGCCCAUCCAAACUCACUCUUACCAUUGUUUAUUUCAUGCUCUUCGAGUAUUAAAAAUGAGUUUCCUAAGAAUUACAUUAAAUUCAAUUAGUGAAAUAACCUUUAAUUGAGAUUUGGUUAAAAUAUGUAAUAAUUUUUUUUAUAAUUUUAAAAUUUAGUUCUCUAUUUUAUAUUUUAGAAUUUAAUUAUAACUUUUAACAAUGUUGAAAAUUUUUGUUAAAUUUAAAUUUAUUAUGAUGUCAUUUUUAUGUUAUAUUACUAUCAAGUGAGUAUUUUUUUAUUUCAAAAGGUCACACCAAUAAAUUUAAUAAAAAAAAUUAGCAACGUUAACAAUUGGAUCUAAAUUUUAAAAUCUAAAAAAUAGAGGGACUAAAUUCUAAAAAUAAAAGUAUAACAAAUUGGGAGGGGGUGACAAUAAUAGGUUAUGAUGUGCAUAUAAUCCCUGUAGUUUCUUAAAAAUAGGAAUUUAGUCUCUUUACUUUUUAAAUUUUAAAAUUUAAGUCUAACUUUUAAUACUAUUAAUUUUAUUUUGUUAAAUUUAUUGGUGUGACUUUUUUAUUAGUGCAUUAUAAAUAUUAUUAUUAUUAUUUUAACCUAAUUUUAAAAUGUUUAAAUGUUUGGGUUAAUUACUAUUUGGUACACUGUAGGGUUCGUGGUUGCCCCUCCCAACAAUGUGAUUUUGAAUAUUUGAACAUGUGUCUCUUUAUAAAAAUGUAAUGUGACUUACCAUUACAUCAAACACUUUCACAUUAUAAGCAUGAGACAUAUUUUUUUUUCACUCAUACUAUAUAUAAAGUAAUCUAAUAAAUAUACAGAUCUAAAAUGCUUUCCUUUUAAUAGAAAAAACCUAAAAAAACAUUAAUCAACCGAUAAAAUCUCAAUUUUACAUAUAAAUUUUAAUUCAAUAUGUUAUGUGAUACAUGAAGUUCGAUUUAAUAAUUAUACAUAUGAAAUUUAGAUUUUAAUUUCAAUUAUAUAUAAGAAAAUUUAUUCUUUAUUUAAUUAUAAACAUUUUAGAAAAUAAUAAACAGUAAAAUAUUAAUAAAUUAGAAAUGGUGUCAAUAAUUUAUGAAAAUUAAAUUAAAUUAAAAUUAUAUAUAUAAUUUUAUAAAAUUAAAGCUAAUGUAUUAUAUUUCACAUUAAAAAAUUAAUAUUUCUUCACUCAAUAAAUUCAAAUGUUUAUAGAAAGAAACAAAAAGAAGCUUAGUCGGUCCAAAAUAAAUGUGGGCUGGGCUUGGAGAAAUUUGUACAUAAAUUGAGCCAUAUAUAAUGAGGCUCAGCUUUCAUUUUCCCUCUCAAAAGGACCCCAAUUUUCCCACUCAAAAGUGAAAAUCCUAGAAAAAUUUCCAUACGCUAGUGAAUCAGCGAUUCAUCUUUUUCUUUUAAGGAUUCAAAAUCUUAAAAAUAAACCAAACAGUGAGCCGAAGAAAACCUUACAUUGAGAAAAAAAAUGAAAACAAAAUCUCGUGCCGUUAAGGGCAGAGCUAUCGAUCCCAUACCUCCUUCAAACUUCCCACUCCUCUAUCAGGUACCUUUCUCUUUCCUCUUUUUUCUUUCUCUUGCUUUCUGUUUGUUUCUCUGGAAUCCACAACAUCAAAGCAAACAACUGCGAGAUUUCUUUUCUUGUUUUACUUCACUUAAUAGUUUUUAUUUUCCUUUGGAGCCUGAGAAUUUGUGUAUUCUUAUUGCGUUCGUAUUAUUUGUUGUGUUAUACUCCUGUUUAAGAUCGAAUAUUUAUAUAAACUUUAGCGCUAUAAUUUAUGUCCAUCCACUUUUCUCCGCUUUCAAUUUUUGGAAGUUUCAAUUCUUUCACCUUGCCAAGUAAAGCCUAAGAGUUGAUGUCUUUUUCUAUGUACCGUCAAAGUGUGGAUUUGAAAGUGAAAGUCAUCUGCGUGUUUUCGAAAUGUCAGCAUAAUAUGACUUAUUUCCGCAUUUUUUUAAAAAACAUUUUGGUACAGGAUGAAGCUAAUGAAGAAUGUCGUAUAAAUGGCAAUGAUUCCGGAGUAUCAGAGGAUGCCGGUUUUAAUCAAGAUAAAGUUAAUAAUGAUGAUGAUGUUGGUGGUAAGGACGAUGAAUUUGAUGAUGAAGAUGAGGAGGAGGCUGAUGGUGAUGGCAGUGGCGGAGGCGUUUCUGGCCAUUAUGAUAAUGAUGUGAUUCCUGAUGAUGUUGAUAAGGGGGAUGAGGAUGAAGCUAAUGAAGAAUAUCAUAUAGAUGGCAAUGAUAACGGAUUAUCAGAGGAUGCUGGUUUUAAUCAAGAUAAUGUUAAUAAUAAUGAUGAUGUUGUUGGUAAAGACGAUGACUUUGAUGGUGAAGAUGAAGAUGGGGAGGGUGAUGAUGAUGGCAGUGCCGGAGGCGUUUCUGGUCAUUAUGAUAAUGAUGUGAUUCCUGAUGAUGUUGAUAUGAAGGAUAAGGAUGAUAAUGUUGUAGUUCAAAAUUUUGUUGAGGAGGUGGAUGAAUCCGCAGGAGUGAACUGUAUGAUAACAGAUUUGUUAGGAGGAGAGUUUGGUUACAGCUGCAAUGGGAGAAGCGGUCAGGUCUUGGUUUGCAGUGGAAAUGGCUGCUCAAUUUCUAUACAUAAGAUGUGCAUGAAUAUUGAACCUCAAUUUGAUGAUACUGGUAAAUUCUACUGUCCUUAUUGUUGGUACAAGCGAGAAGUAGCAAGGACCGAGGAAUUGAGAAAGAGAGUCAUGUUGGCGAAGAGGGAAUUGUCAAAGUUUAUGCAUUUCAAGUGGGAUGGUGGAAAUGAAGAGAAGCUGGCAGCUGGAGCAGAAAACAUGAAAGCGGCAAGUCUAUCAACAAUGGCAGAGGAAAAAAAAGCUGGUGAGUGUGGAAAUAGGCUGAACAAUGAUGCUAAUGAAACAAUACUUUAUAAUCAGGAGCAAAACAUGUGCGUUGAGUCUGUAGGCAAGGGAAAUUCUGAUGAUGAAAAUAUCUCCAAAGCUCAUGGGUUUGACAACAAUGUUGUGGAUGGACAUGUGCUACAAGAGGAGGAUGAAGAAAAUACUUCUGAUAGUGAAAAUGAUGGAGGUGAUGAGGAUCCCUGGUGUAAACCACCAUAUCACCCAAACCAUUUUGAAAUUGUGAAUGAUGCACUUUGUUUAUCAACUAAAGGGACUUCUAACCUUACAGGUGUACUGGAAGACAACCAAGGGAAGAGUGGGAAGGAAGAGCCAAUGUUGUCAAACGCAGUGGGAAAUGCUAUGGCACUAAUAACCGAAGAUGCUACACCUAAGGUUCCCGCAAUUGAAAGUUUUGAGUUUCUAUUACCUGAUUUGGAUACUGGGACACCUCUAGUGCGUCAAAUGCGCAUCAAACAUACAGCUCAGAGGGCAAGACCUCGGAAAGUUGAUUCACCAAAGAAGUCAUCCUUCCAACCAAGUAUCAGUGCAAAGGAUGAGAAUACAAACCAACAAGGAAAAGCUACAGCAGCAAAAAACUCUGUUCAAUGCCAAGAGUUAACCAAGCGAAUGUAAGUUGUUUGGGGUUUUACAUUGUGGUUAAGGUAACAUGCUAAAAGGAACCAUGUUGUGCAUGGUAUAUCUGUUGCUAGAUCGUAGUUCAUGCUGUGGUUUUUUGUUGACUAUCAUUAUACUGAAAUUACCUUGCUUUUCAAUCUAAAUUGCAGCAGGACCCCAAUAUUGGGUAAUGUAAAACGUAGGAGGCUACAGUGGACAGUUGAAGAGGAAGAUAUACUGAAGGUAUAUGGUUAUGAACACUACAAACAUCCCUUUUUUAAAUUCUUUAUUUGUUAGCAUGUACAUAUUAACUUUUCGGAUCGAUUCAGCUUGAUUUAUGCUACAUUCCUGUUUCCUUUAUUUCAUUGUAUUUGAAGCAUAAACUUUCAUUGAUCAUCUUAGUUACUGCUUGGCUAACCGAUAGAUUUUCUAUGAUGUGUUUAAUAUUUUGUAAGAUUCCCCACUUACAUCCUUCCCUAACCUAGUAAAAUAGGAUGUCUCACCUCAAUUCAAGAUCGCAAUGUAGACCCCGUUAAAUAAUGAACUUUUUAAACUUGUCAGCUUCAGACAGGCACAUAGACACAAGUAUAGUUUUCUGAAUAGCGCUGAUGACUAACAAAAUGAUAUUGCUGUAUUGUAACAAUGGUUGAGAAUCGGUAUUGAAUAUCUUGAACAGUUGAGGCAUGCCUCUCUUCGGCCUUUUUUGCCUUUACAGGCACAUGGUCACUCAGAGGUGCUUUACUAGAUUUGCUGUGCCCUACGUGGGACUACACUGAAUUGGGAUGUACAUGCUAACAGAACUCGAAGAAUUAUCUUUGUUACAUCAGUUUCUUUUCUUGACUGCCAUAUGUUUGUGUUGGCAGGAGGGAGUGCAGAGAUUUUCAUUGACAAUGAACAAAAACAUCCCCUGGAGGAAAAUUUUGGAAUUUGGUCAUAAUGUUUUCAGCACAAAUCGUCUGCCUGUUGACCUUAAGGAUAAAUGGAAGAAGAUUAUGGCCAAAGAGGACCCAAAAAGUAACAAGGGGGUACUGAUUACAUUGAAGGAAUAAGGUGAUGUUUGUAGAUGUUAAUAUGUCCAUUUUGGUGCAACUAUCUCUCACUAAAAUAGAUUGGUGGUUGGUAUGUUGAAAAGUAGAGGUAAUUGUUCUAUAAACUUGAUAACCUCUUUUGCCUUAGGUUAUGGAGAAAGUUGCUACAAUGUUGUAAUAUUUUGAGGAACUUACUAAAUAUGAAAUUUAGCAUUUCCUAGAAUCUACGAAUGGCCUCUGAUUACUCGAUAGGACAUUGGAAGUGUACAAAGUAUUUGUGAUGGGUCAGCUGUUGUGGAGAUAGUAGUACCAGCCAUUCAAAACUAAUUACAUGACUAAUCCAACCGUUCAAAAUUAACAUUUACAAGUGUUCUAACUAUUGCUGAAAAAUCAUCGCCUUCAUCAAAAUUGUGCACAUGAAUAAUCGGGUCAUGUCCCCUCUCUGGACUUGAUUUUGUAGCAUAGGGCGGCCAUUCUUCGACGGACUGUCAUUAAUACACAUCAUCCAAACCAUUAAUUAUAACCAAUAACAUGCACUUUAUUCCAAACAUUAAUUUAUGUAAAUAGGUUAAUAUAAUUUUUGUAUCAAAUCAUAGGACCAUCAUUUAAGAUAUGUCCAUAGGUCGGGCCAACUAAAAUUUUAGACUUGUUUGUUACGCCUGGGCUCAACCUAAAAAAUUGGUUUAGAAUUUUACUUAAGGUUGCCCGAAUAAAAAUGUUAAAAUUCAGGUUUAAAUUAAUUUUUAUAUUAUUUUUUUAUAUAUAUAUUAAAAAUAUAAUACAUCAAAAAUACUAAAAAUGUUAAAAUAAAUAUUUCUCAACAAAUUAAAAAUAAAUUAAAAAUAUGUAUAUUUAAAUAACAUUAAUAUAGGUGCAACUUAACAAGCAAAAGUCUCUAAAAUAUUAACAAAAUUAACAAUAAAACAAGAGUUAUACAAUAUCAACAAAAUAGUAGCAAUAUAAUAAUGAAAUAGCAAAAUAGUGAAAACCAACAAAAAUAUAACAACAAAACAGUAAAAAAAUAGUAAGAAAAUAAUUUAAAAAACAGCAGCCUUUUUUUUUGCAUAUUCGGGUCGGGUUGGGCUCGGGGGCCACUCGAGGCCUGACUUGUUUUCUAAACGGGUCUUAUUUUUGUACCCAAGCCUAAUUUUUGAGCUUAUAUUUUUAUCCAAACCUUCUCACUUUUUAGAUGAACAUUUGAGCUAAGCCGAGUGACCCGACCCAUGGGUCUACUCUAUAUGCUUUGUUUCAAUCACCAGCAAUAAUACUACGUAUAAGAAAAUUAGGCUAAGGAGGAACGACUUUGCAUGCAUGCAUAUAUAAUAAAUGAAAAAUUGAAACCAGAAAAAAUAAAAUUAAAAAAAAAAAAGGGAAAGGGAAAGGAAUCAAAGGAUAUAUAUAUUAUAAAAAGCUUUGAUAGCUGAGAAGUGGGGAAUUCUUGGUUGAACAAAAGGAGGCCAUGAGCUCAUCAAUGAUAAAAUUAGUAGAGAGGAUAUAAUGAUAGUAUGGACUCUUCAUUGUUUACAGUUUGUAAUAAAAUUAAUCAAACUUAGGAAUACAAGAAGACGAAACCUUAUUAUAUGAUUGGAGUGGAAAUGAAACACAUUUAUUCGCCAUUUCCUUAUCCCCCGUUCAACACUCUACGGCGACUUCCCCCCUCCAAUGCCUUCCCUUUUUUCUGUUUUGUUUUUUUUUAAAGAUUUUCUUUAUUAAUUUUUUUGUCUGUCAGCCUUCAAUAUCUAUAGUGAUGUUAAGUCUCAUUGAAUUUGAAGUUAGUUAAGCUCAAUCCUUAAAUAUGAUGUUAAGUCGUUAUUUUAACGACUUACGGAAUAUUAGGUUUUAGGGUUGAAUUAAUUUCAGAUUGAUCAAGUUUUUCUUUUUGAAUUUUUUAAAUCAUUUGUGAUAAUUCAAUUAUCGUUUCUUUUUCAUGCUAAUUUUAGAUAUUAUAUUUUUAAAUUUUAUUUUGAUAAAAUGAAUUUUGUUUUUGACUUUUGAACAUAUUUUAGUGGUUUUAAAGGUUUUUUCAUAAAUAUUAUAAUUUUUCAAUUAAAUAAAAGAGAAUCAAUAACUCUUACAUAAUACUUUUUUUUUAAAUAUAGAAUAUUUUUACGUUAUUUUCACUACUUAAAAUAUAAAAUAUUUAUUUUUACUUCAUAAUUAAAAUUUUAUAAAUUAAAUAAAAAUUAUACUUCAAUUUGAUUCGGGUAAUGGCAGUUUUUUAACUUGUGAAUCAACUAACGUUCAAACGUACGAUGGUUUGAAUCAAAUUUCCUCUCCUAUCAAACUCUUCACCAUUCAACCGAAGACAGUCUACAAUUUUUAGCUUCAAGAAUUCCAAGUUUAGCUUUUUUCUCUUUUAACAUUCUUCUGCUAACAUUUUUUCCUCCCCGCAAAAGAGUCAAAUAAGUGCGAAAUUAUAUUAUUGGAAAUCAUCGGAAAGCCAAAGGUAUGGGUAUCAAAUAUUAGAAAGUCAAAGAUACGGGUAUCAGAAUAUUGGCAUAAGAAAUCUGAGAUAUUUGUAAUAUUUGGUCCCUAAUUGUAUAGUGACUUUGCAAGUUGAUCCCUGAACCUCAACUAUAAAUAGGCCUAACCAUCUCUCAUUCAUUGUAUCCUAUAUUUGCCAUUCUCUACUUAAGGCAUUGUUCUCUCUCUCUUUGCAAAUUUUCACUUGUAUUUUGGAGUGAAAUAUAUUUGGUAGUGCCUGAGGACGUAGGCAAAAUUUGCUGAACCUCGUUAAAAUUCUUGUGUUCUUUAUGGUAUUAUUCUGCAUAUUUUGUGAGUGUGGUUGUAGUAAUUUAUUAUGCUAUUAAAUUACAAUUGAGAGAUAUUCUGGCUAGGAAAGACCUGGUACUUAAGCGAUCCUUGUGAUCCACCUCUCUUUCCUGAGAAUUGAACUUAGUGUGAUCUUUUAGUACAUUCAUCUUACUCUUUUACACGCUUCCGAAGUUCCGCACAACAUAUAUUUUUAUUUUGAGAUAAAUCUCAAAAUAGCACAUGAACUUUGAUCAAAUGUAUAAUAUUAUAAUAUAAACUUUCAUUUUGUACAAUUUUAUGUAUGAAAUUUUCAUUCGAUUCAAUUUUCACAAAUCACUAACACAAAUUAUCAAUGUAGAACUAUUUUGCAUUUACAUAAUAUUACAUAUAAAAAUAAUUAUAUUUAUCUAAUAUAUAAAAAAAUUGAUACAUUUAUUUCUUUAAGUAUACGCCGUUGAAUCAAAAUAAAAUAUUCAUUUAUAUAUUUAAAUUACAAUUAAAAUUUCUGAUUGUAUCAAAUCAAAAUUCAUGUAUAAAUUUGAGAUCUACCCCUUUUAUUUUAUUCUUUUUUAAAAGCUAUAAGCGAUUAAUUAGUUAAUGUGUAAAGACCACCUAACUUAAAAAAUAUUUAUUAGUUUUAUUUUUGCCCAAUUUUUUGAUAAAAUUGAGGCUUAUUGUUCUUAUUAUUAUUACCAACCAACCAAAUGAAUGAAUGUUUUAAAACCUUAUGAAUUCCUUUGUUGAAGUAAAAAUAAAAUAUAUUUAAGAUUAUAAAAAUAUUUUUAAAUAUUAAAUAAUGUUAAUACUAUAAUUUAUAUAUAGAUAAUUAUUUGAUACACACGGUGUGAAUCUAGAAAAUUUUUUAGGAUGGACCAAAUUUGAAAAUGACUAAACAUGAUUUUUUUUUUCAUUUUGGGAGAUAAAAUAUAAUUUUAUCAUAUAUAAAAAUUUAUAAUUUAAUAAUUUUUAAAGGGUUUGAAAUGUUAAUUUCCAAUUUUUGGGUUGGGAUCCUUGCUUGCCUCUUUUGCAUGUGCUCUUGGAUUCCUUAGCGGCGAAAUUUUCUAACUUCACAAUUAAGGUUAAGAGGCCAUCACGUGUCUCAUUUAUAUUUUUUUAAUUAUUAUUUUAAUAUCAAUUAAUAACACUUGUCUACCUAUUAACUUCAUUUGUGGAGGAAAAAACUCUACUGUUUGUAUAUAAAAUAAUUAUCCUUAAUAUUUUGAAAAUAAGAAAAUAUUUUGUACACUGCCAUUGAAAUUUUUAAACUCUACAUGCAGGGUUGAGAUAAUGGCAAGUGUCUAAUAGAGUAUACUAAAAUCUUAAAUAUAUAAAUAUAUAUCUAUAUAUAUAUAAAAGAAAUGAGACAUACAACAAAUUUUUAACUUUGCUUAUGUAGUUGAAAACACACACAGUCAAUAUACCAAAUACUAACCUAUUAAAAAUUGGAUGAGUAUUUAAUACACGAGUAGUUUACUUUUUUUUAUUCCACAAUCAACUUUAAAAAAUUGUCAUGCGUCUUUUCUUUUAAAUAUUUAUUUUUAAAUUUUUUAUUAUAAACAUUUGUCAAUCUCUUAAUCCUAAAAACUCUACUGACAAUAUACCAAAUAAUUUUUCUUAAAAUUUUAUUAAAAUAUUGAGCUAAUAAAAUUAAAACGAUUAUAUAUCAAAUUUAACUUACAAAAUUAUAAAUUAAAAAAAUAGAAUUAAAAAUAUAUUUAGGCCAAACGUAAAAAGAAAGUAAUAUUAGAAAAAUAUUUUUAGCAGAAAAUAGUAAUUAUUUUAUAUUCUUUUUAGAAUACAAAUAUAAUACAAUCAUAAAUCGAGUUUAAAUAAAUAUAAAGUAGAAUUAGAUUAAUGUAAAUUAUAACCGAACAAGUAUAAAUAUAUUUUAAGUAAGGAUACGUAAUAAUAUUGAUUAGAGUAAAUAUAUACUUUUUUUUCAAAUAUUAUUAUUAUUUUAAAUCAUUAAUUUAAACAAAAAUAUACACAAAUAACCCGUACAUCGCAGAUAAAUGUAAACUAGUAUAUAUAUAUAUAUUCUCUAAAUUACUGUAAAUAAAGCCUAGUUUAAAAGCUUUCAUCUCAUUUUUCCAAAUUAUCAAAGGACCAGUCAUGAGCUGUAGGCUUUAGAUGUUAAUUUAAUCUGGAACUUUUGGUUUUUCUUUUUUUUUUCAAAUAGUUAUCGAAAGCCAUUUAUAUAGUGAAAAUAGUGGUGGUUGAAAAAGAAAAACAACUAUUUAUUUUUCUUUUUUAUACUAAUAUUGUUGUGGAAAAUUAUCUUUCUUACAAAUAGUUCUAUUUUCAUUUUUUGUAUUGGGUGUAGUUGUAAGUCAUAUUGCAGUUUUAAAGAGAGAAUUUAGAUUCAAACCAUGGACAUACGAUUACCUGAAAAGGGAAACCAUAAACACUAGAAGAAUUAAUUUUCAUGAAUUGUAAAUAAACAAUCUAGAUGAUAGAAGGAGCACGUAUGGAGGAUGCUUCUAUUUGGGACCAAACUUGGUACCUUAUAGUAUAGCAAGAAGCAAGCUUCAAUUUCCUUAUCAACAACUGAAGUUGAAUACAUUAAUGUCGGUAGUUGUUAUGCUCAACUUCUAUGAAUGAGACAAAUGAUGGAGGACUUUGGAAUUGCAUCACCAUUUCAUUCAAGAGCUUGUUGAAAAUGUCAUUGUUGAAUUAAAGUAUUUUGUCUAUUGAACAUCAACUGGUCGAACUCUUCACCAAAACUCUUAAUUUAGCCAGAUUUAAAGCUUUAAGACUCUCAGUUACUGUUUGUUGAGUUUCAAACUUGAUAGCUAAGGCAAGGCAUCCAAACGCCACUCUUAGAUGUCAGUUUACCUUAAGGUUAUGUUUUGGUGUUUCAUGGCUCGAAAAUUUCAAUUUUGGAGGGAAAAUUUUCCUUAUAUUUUACCUUCCAAAAAUUGAGAGGGAAAAGGAAAAAUGAUUUAAUCUUAGAAAUUUAGGUAUUUAAUUCCCUGAUUAAAUAGAAAGAUGUAAAACCUAUAAAGUUAAACUUCUUGAAUGCAUGAAUGAAACACAAACUCAAACAGAAAAACGAAGCAAUAGGACAAUAUUCCAAGACGUGUAUCAAUCCACUAUAUUUAAGGUUCUAUUUUUCUCCACCUAUACUCGGUGUGCAAAUAAGUUUCAAGCUAAUGAAUCUUUAGGAUACAAUAAAACCCGGUGCCUAUUUACGUUUUGCACUGACGAUAAUAGUCCACUAAGCACUGAUUAGAGUAUAACAAGAAAAUCAAUUUCUAUAAAAAUUUCUGCAAUAAUUUUUAUAAAACAAUCUAAUAAUAGUAAAAGACGAAAGAAGAAUAGAAAGAACUUUUUGAGAAUUUUUGGUACAUCUUUAAAAUGAAAUCCACUUCUAUUUAUAGUAACUCUCAUGUCUCUUCCUAAAGACAUAACUUCUAAUAGGUGUGUUUGAAUAAUCACAUCUUUAAAAAAGACAUAAUUAUUCAACUGAUAUCUCAUAACUAUUCAAGUAAUAUUAUUUGUAUAAUUAUAAUUCUUUGUCAAAAAUCAAGUGAUAUAACUCUUGAUCAAUAAUCAUAAGACAUUACACCCUUUCAUUUAUAGUUAUUAGAACACUAUAAAAAUUUGAAAAUGUUCUACAAUCUCCCUCGUUUUUAAAAUAUUUUAGAUUUUGAUAAUCCUGGAAAUCAACUUGCAUAAAUCAAUGUGUCUUACAGUUGAACCUUCACUUAGUCAAAACAUGUUAAAGUUAAUCGAAAUUGCAUGGUAGACUAAUCUUUGAACCAACUAUUCUAUUUAAUUAAUUGAACACAUCUCAUUCAAUGAUUUCAACACCGAUCAAUGCAUAGUAUCUAGGGACACUAUUAUGGCCAUGUGUCUGUGUCCUCUUUUCAUGAGUGUUGUUAGAGCCAAGCCCUUGAGCUCCUAGAAGCAGCCACACUUCAAACUCACAUAGGUAGAUCCCAUCAAGAGUGUUCCUGUAGUUAUAACACUCCAACAUAUUUAUGUCAUGGGUCCAUUAAGAGUACAUUACACAUCCUUCCCUUAUCAUUAUGGGUACCUAGCACUUUAAUUUUAGAAUGGAUUUAUUUAUAGUGCUAGCACUCACAUACUAAUCUAUUGUAAUUUGAUAUGUCAAAUUAGGCUCUCCAUUGAGCUUAAUGAGCUUAUUUUCAAGUAAACUAGUUGUCUUUUCUUUACUUUUGUUGAUUUUUAGUUUUUGUUGCUAAUAAAUUGUUUUUGUGAGUUUUAUGCCCUGUUUGAGACCCAAAUUGGUCAAACGUGUCAUGGGGGACCUAACGAUGUAAUUGAAUUAGUGUAGGAAGUCAGUAAUGGCCCAAAUGUGAAGAAAUCGUCUUUAGAAAGGGGUAUCACGACACUGAGCCAUAGAGGUUGUGAUACCAAUGACAGUGCUAAAGUGAAAGCAAUUGAGGUAAACUUCAGUGAUAUCGCGAUAUCAAGGAUGGUUAUUGCAAUCCCAAGACCCUCCAUGACUUCCAAGUGCGAUAGUGCUUGGGGUAUUGCAAUACCUCUGCCUGACGAGACAAAACAUGACUAUAGAAGUAUUUCUUAUUCAACACCAACUCCAAUCAAUUGGACGUUUAAGGGCAUUUUGGCCUAAUUUCUUGUGUUGUAAUAAGAUAAAAAACCACUUUUGGCUGAGAAGAAAGGUGGUUGUUUUACUUUAGUUUUCUUUCAUCUUUUUAACUUUGUAGUUGUCUUCUUCAAGUUAUCUCUAGGGUUUUAGUUACUUUUCUGGUUUUAGUCAAGUUGGUAGUUAGUUAGUUAAGUUUACUGUAGCUUGGUCUUAUUUUCUAUUUAGUAAUCAAAACUCUCUUGUAUUUUCAUUUUAAUCUCAAGCUCUUAAUAUAUAUAUCAACUUCAUUUUCUUUUAAAGCAUAAAAAUUUGAUCUUUGAUAGUAUUUCUAACCUCCAUUGUUGCCUAAAUCCUCUCUUUUAAACAUUCAUCAAGAAAUUAUUAAGCUUUCUUAACCCUAUUUCUUGUGCUUAAUCUAUUGUGUGAUUUGAUUGUUUAUUGGUUGUUGUUUGUUUAGAAAUGAUGUUAGGUAACUAAGUUUAUGGUGAUAUCUCAUAAAUAUUCAAGUAAUAUUACUUGUAUAAUUAUAAUUCCUUGUCAAAAAUAAAGUGAUAUAACUCUUGAUCAAUAACCAAAAGACAUUACACCCUUUCAUUUCUAGUUAUUGGAACACUAUAAAUAUUUGAAAAUGUUCCAACACAACCAUGUCCAAGACGAUUAAAGAAAUGGAUCGAUUGAUUUCUCAUCCACCUCAUUUAGAAAAUGACCCUGUUUUUGAAGUUGGUUUGGACUCUCUCAUUGAUGUUGUCACCGAACAAGUUAAUAUUGUUUCUAGAGGGUGAGCAAAAUUCGAUUCGAUUCGAAAAACUUAAUAAAAAAUUCAAAAUUUGAAUUAAAUAGUUCGAGUUAUUCGGAUCAACUAGAAUAAAAAAAAUUAAAAAUUUCAGUUUAACUCGAAUGUGAAUUACACAAUUCAAGUUAUCCGAAAAUCUAAAUAAGAAAAGGUAAAAUUACAUCAUUUUGAUAAAUGAUCACCUUUUUUAAAGUUAAAAGUCAAAACCAUUAAACUACGUUGUUUUUAUAAAUGUUUACCCAUUAAGUUAAAAGAUAAAACCAUUAUAUUGUUUAUCUAGUUAAAUAAUAUUAUACUUCGUCUAGUUAAAUAAUCAAUCCAUGUAAAUGCAACAUUGAGUAUAAAUAAUAGGAUUCGCUAACUCGACUCGACCUGGCUUGUAAUUUUCUGACUCGAUUUGGAAAAUUUUCAAAUUAAGUUCAGUUGCUAAAAUAUGAUUUGUCAACUCGACUAACUUAAAAUUUUUUGACUCAAUUUGACUCGACUCAAUCAAAUGUUCAGCCCUAAUUGUUCCGCUUGAUACUUCCCAUGAUUCAACUACUUCUGAAAUUGUUGAUAACUCUGCUGAAAAUUUUGUGACCAAUAUUGUUGAACCUAAUAUUGGUAGUUUUGAUAAUGUGGAUUUGAAGGAUGGCUCUGUUGAUCCUCUUGUGUCCAAUCCUACACCUGGCUUAGCUCUUGAAAAUUCUCAGGAACUAGAUGUUGUAAUAACAUCAGCCACAACUACUCGUGUGAUUAGGGGUGUUACAAGAAGGAAAAACAAGGGCUGCUACAACAAAAGUGAUUAACGCUGUUUAUGUCUUUUAGGUUAGGUUGUCAAGACAUAAAAAUAAAAAUCUACUUGAAAAUAUAAAUUAGUAUAUAAGUACAAGUAGGGUCGGGUCGUAUUCAUAGAGUCUGAAAAUAACUUUAUUUUUUAAAUAAAAAUAAAAAAAAUAAAUAUAAUGGGGGGUUUUAGAAAAUAAAAAACUUAUCAAAGAAAGCAAUAAUUAAAAGUUGAGGAAAAAUCAUUCAGAUAAAGCUUUAGCCAACGAUAAAAUCUUUAUUUUGUCGAAACCUCUUUUUUGGAAAUUGACUUUUAUUUUUUCAAAGAACUAAAAUGUAGUCGCUACCAAUCCUUUUUAUUAGGUGUAAUCGGGUCACCUCAAAUAAUUUUAACCAUCUUUAUAAAAGAUUAGAUUUUCCUAAAACGAUAAUUUUUAGUCUCUGAAAUCCAAGAACGUAGGUUCGAGAGCCGGUUACGUACGAUGAAGGAUUAGCACCCUUAUAACGCCCAAAAUUGGUACCUAGUUGGUUACUCAAUGUUUUGAUGUCAAAAAUUGAAAAUUCAAAGCAAAUUUAAAAUACGAUCCCUCUUUGCAUGAUAAAAUAUCGCUCAACUAAAUUAAUUUUCACGAAAAUGCCUUAUUUCAAGUUAAUCGAGAAGAGAAGAUCAUACCCCGUAAAUUAGGAUACAGUGCCUCAAAUUCUCGAAAUCAAGAAUAAUCACCAUUUAACCAUUACUUAAAUUUUGUUUUUUUAUUUUAAAUAGGGUAUUCGGUUAUUUCAGUUCUAAGAAGAUGCCAUACCCCAUAAAUUAGGAGCACGACUCUUCGAAUCUAAAAAAUAAUGAACAUUGCCUUGGUUUUAAAUAUUUCCUAUAUGUUAGGUGGAACGAAUAUGACCCUUUUUAAAAAAAAUGAUAUAUAUAUUUUUAACAUGUUUAGGCCUAGCAAACGGGUGGAUAUAUUUGAACAUGACAUGGCGAUUUAGCGAGAGUGAAAUAAAAUAAUAAUGGAAAAAAUAAAAUGAUGAUGUUAAAACGAUAAAUAAACGAAUGAAUAAAUAAAUAAGUAGAUAAAGAAGAAUAAGAAGAUAAAAACCAAAGAAAUGCUAUACUAAUAUGCAUCUAUAAUGAUAAUAAAAACAAAAAUUAAGCAACAAUUAUGUUGUGAUAACUACCAUAGUACUAAUAUGAAUAAAUAAAAUAAUAAUGAUAAUAACAAAGAUAAAAUAAAAUAAAAUAUAUAAGAUAUAAAAAUAUAUAAAUUUUAAAUGCUAAAUAAAUGAUGUAGUAAUAAAGAAGCAAAGCUAACCGAAAUAUGGAUUAAAUCGAGAUUCAAGAAAAGUUUAAAGCAUAAAUCACAAAAAAAAAGGAAAGGGGGCAACAAAUGUGCAAAUAAAAGGAAAAAAAUAUCAAUUUUAAAUAUAAUAAAGGAUAAAGAAAUAAUAAAUAAAUUUUAUAAAAGGUUGAAAUUAAAUAAAUAAAGGACUGAAUCAUAAUUUAAACAAAAUUAAAAGUACAAACCAUAAUAAAAUAAAUAAAUUAAAAUAAUAAAACAUAAUAAAGGACUAAAAUAAAAUGUGCUAAAAAGGAUAGGGACCAAAUGAGUAAUUAUUCUAAGCCUCGGGACACGUGUCAUCCCCUAAACGGGUCCACAAUGGUCCAGGGACUAAAUUGCACAAAAAACAAAACAAAAAGGGUGAAAAUAAAAGAAUAAUAAGUAGCAGGACAAAAUUGAAAAGUGGCAAAAACGAGGAAGGACUAAACCAGAAAUUAGACCCUCUUUUAAAAAACACACGAAUCCUGUUAGGGUCGGGUCGGCUUCAAAACGACGCCGUUUUGGCGUCUAAAACUUAAGCCCAAAAGACGUCAUUUUAUAAGGCUAUAUAAAUAAAACAGUGUUUUAAAAAAUUUCAUUUUUCCAGUUUCUAAAAAAAAAUAAAGAAGUCACCUUUAAAAAUUUUCUUUGUAAGUUGUUUUUUUUCUGAUUGCUUCGUGUGUAUCGUACAUAGUUUUUUUUUUUUGGCUUUUAUAGCCGAAUGCAUUACACUAUUUUUUAAUGUUUUUACUACUGUUCUUUGCGUGUUCUUGGUUCUGUCCUUGUUCCUUCUUUUUUGCAGGUGUCCCUGGCCGACGACAGUGACGGGCAGAUGAGGCAUCAGGCCUCAGGUGACAAAACUGCUGGCAAAGUGAAGGCGGCGACGCGCAAUAACCCUAGGGUUUCUAUCUUUUCUGCAAACAAUUUAGGUUUUGGGGCUUAUCAAGGUUUGGGCUUGUAAGUUAGGUUGUAUUUUGGACUUUUUAAUUGAGUUUGUAAAUUUUUAUUUUUAUUUUUAUUUUGUUUCUGUUUGGGCCCGGGCUAAAUUGGCCUAUUACAUAUAUGAUUCAUAAAUCCAACCAUCGAUGCAAGAAUAUCUUCAAUGCUUUUAAUUAAUUAGUUUUAGUUGCUGACUCAACGCUAAACACCCAAUCUCAUUUUACCGAUUUGAUAAUCAAGAGGUAACUUGUUUGAAGUUGUUUCCCUUGCCAAUCAAUAACCUUGUAACUUAGCGCUCAAGGUUUAACUUAGCAGUAACAUUAAGAAUGAGAAAGAUCUAAUUUAACCAACAAAUUCACCUCAAUGAGGUUUCUUUAAGCUAUAUCACACAUCUAUACCACAUAAACCAUGGACUUCGACAUACACAAUGUUGCAGUUUGUAACAAGUAUUAUUAGAAUGAAUUAAACAAUUAUAGAUUUAAUUAUUCUAAUUGACAAUAUAAUAAUUCUAAUUUAUAAAAUACUGGCACAAACUUAAACAAUUAUAAUUCAAUAAAAGAUACUAAAGAACAAAGAAAUAUUAAGAACAGAUUAGAUCUCAAAAAAUUAUAAAAUCAAACUUUGAAAAUCUUUUGAUUAGUUUGUUCAAGUCAUAGAGUUGAAGAAUACAACGCAAUGCCAAAAGUCUUAAUUCCCUCUCAAAACAUCUUAUUUAUGUUGUCUAAAUAACCUAAAUCAAUUGUAUCUAAAAAAUGAAUAUAAAAUAUUUAUAAAUUAAUUAAAAAGUUUAUAUUUUUUUUUAUAACUGUUAAUUCGAACGCUUGAGUUCAUAAAUUUAUCAUUUGUAGACAAUUAUUUGAUUAAUUUAUAAAGCAAUUUAUAAAUUGGUUAAAAACUUGCAAAAGAUAUUGAAUUUUUCUUAAAUUUUUGUACAUUCUGCGGUUUUAACGCUCUUAAACAGUGUAGUAAUUAAUUCUACAAUGAUUGGUUUUUGGAAAAAAAGACAUCACUCAGGUAACUAUACUGGUGAGUUAUGUGGAUCGGUAGUAGCGACUGUUAUUUUGGGUACGAGUGGACACCCUUCAUUAAAUAGUCACUUCUAUUUAACUUAAAUUAUAUUUUAAUUAUUUAUAUUAACGUGUUGUAAUAUUUUAGUCAUUAAUUAACGGUGUAACAUUAAGCUAAUGUGACAUAUUAAAUCAUCUUUUGAAAUAAAAAAUUUCAAGUUAAAUAAUACAAUUUAUUCUCAUAUUUUUUUUAUUUUGAAUACUUUAAUUUUUUUAUAUUCUUUUAACCUUUUUUUCCUUUUUUUCUUUUUAUUUCAUUCUCUUCUACUUCUUUAUCUCAUAUGUUUUCCAUUUUUUAAAUUAUACAAAUGUGAUUAAAAUGAAAUAUGUAUUAAACAAAAGUGACUCUUGAUGGUUUGCCGGCCAUUAUCGGCUCCAUUUCAUUUUAUUAAUAUAAUUAUACCGCAGUAGCUCAAAAUAUACAUGAUAAGGGAUAAAGUGGAAGUGAUUUGCUAUUGCAUUACUUUCUCUAUCUAGAAACACUAAUGGUGGUUUGCUGUAUCAUAAUGCAAUCUUCUCAGAUUACAGUUCCACUAGGAAUCAAGGCAUCCUUGACUACUGUCACAAUCCCACUCUUUAUGAAAUAUCCAUCGGUUUCCCUUGCCGCUUCUUGCACGUUUUCACUGUUUAUGAUCUGUAAAUACCAAACAUUCAUUAAACAAAUAGUUCCAAUUUUGUGAGUCAAUCAUAACUGCUGCAAAACUUUGGAUUUUUCUUCUUUUUUUUUACUAUUGCCACCGACAAUUUCAUCACAAAAUUGGCUCAAGUGGUCAGUGAAACUCAUCUCUCUUUCCAAGACUCUGUUGAAACCAUAAAAGAAAUUAACAAGAUAAAAUCAUGACCUACCUUCACAUUGUCUCCAAUUCGAGCAUUCUUGUCAAUAAUGGCUCUCUUGAUAUGUGAAUUCUUUCCUAUACCAAUUGGAACACUGCCCUUUGCAGACAAAAACCUCCUGUCUGCAUCAGUCUGGAGAGACAAUCGAGGAAAUACAGAUUACUCAUGGUGACUCGCGGAUUGAAAAUGUAUAUAUAUAUAUAUAUUAACUCCCAGGUUAAGCUACCUCAUAAUAAUCUGCUCCCAUCAGUAAGGUAUCUUCUAUGAUUGCACCCUCGGAGAUGCAAGAUCGAAGACCAACCACAGAAUGGUGAAUUUUACAGUUCUGCAAUCAACCAAAAUAUCCGGACCAUUAACUACUGAAAGUAGUCUCUAAUUCCCAUUUAGCCUGUGAACUUUAGUAACCAUCUCCAACUAGAAAAAAACCCAAGCAGAUUAUCAACCUAGCCCCAAGGAACUCACCUUAAUAACGCAACCCUCACCGAUAACACUAUCUGUAACAUCAGCAUCAAGCAUUUUGGAUGGUGGCAAAUACCGAGGCUGUGUGUAGAUUGGAGACGAACGGUCAUAGAAGCUGGGAAGAAAGUUCAAAACCAUUAAGGCAAUUAAAUAGAUUACCAAGCUAGUCAAAUGAGGAUGCAUUGAUGAACUAGAAAUACCUGAAAUCUGGCACUGGCUUUUUGGUGAUUCCCAGAUUUGCGUUAUAAAAUGCCUCAAUCGUACCAAUGUCCUCCCAGUAGCCAUCAUACAGGUAAGCUUGCACCUGGAUAGGUUAACAAGCAAUUAGGCCUCCUAAAUUAGUAAUUCUAUGCGAUUAGAAGAAAAAUCAUUGUAACAAGAUCAAUGGACCCCGUCAUGCAAAAAAUUCUAACACCGAAGCUUUGGUCAAGCAUACAUAAUGAACUUACUGUAAGAGUCUAGGGUAUGCUCCAUGAAUGAGAGUACAAUUUCACUCAAACUGCUCACAAAAUGAAUGUAUAUCUUGGCAAUGAUCUUAUUGUUCAAAACUGUUCAUUGCUAGAAACAAGACAAGACCGGAUUCAAUCUCAAGAUUGUUCAAAUUCUUACUAAUGCUGCAGAAGUGGCUUGGUGAAUAAAGAAGUACCAGAUAAGAUGCCAUAUAUAUCAAUUGCCAAUCUUAAACAAGAUAAAAAAGAUUGGUUACCAUACACUGAAAAGCAAACACACAAACUACCUUACUUUGCACAUAAGCCAUUCAGAGGGAGGGAUCUAUGAAAAGUAUACUUACCCUCAUCCCAAUGGAAGUAGCACCUGGAAUUAUUUCACUUCCAAAAUCAUUGGCUCCCGGAAACUGGUCUCGAAGAAGAUUCAACAUCACAUCUUUACUCACAACAUAUAUGCCCAUGCUAGCAAUGAAAGGCAUUUCUUUUGCUCUCUCAUCAUCAAGCCCUAAAAUUGUAGUAUCAACCUAAAACAACAACAUCAAAAUCAGAACCAGAAUUAGACCUUGAACUGGAACUAGAAGAAAAACAAUAACAGCUCCUAACUUCAAUACUUCAUGUUUGAAUCUCAACUGAAGGAGGAUACCUGCAUAGCUUUUAGUUGGUCGCCUUUUGGUUUCUCAGCGAAUUUGAUGAUUCGUCCUUCUUCGUCAAUCUUCAUUAAACCAAACGCAGUAGCCCGUUUUUCAUCCAUCGGCAAUGCAGCUACAGUGAUGUCGGCAUCAGUCUCUCUGUGCGCCUGAAUAAACCUUUCAUAAUCCAUUCUAUAUAAAUGGUCCCCAGCAAGAACCAAGAAUUCCAAAACAUUAUGCUCCUCAAACAACCACAAAUACUGCCUCACCGCAUCCGCUGUCCCCUGCAUAAUCAAACACAGAUCAUUUUACAAAUCAAAAUCCAAAAAGCCAGAAAGAAUUUAAAACCCAUUUCAGUAGCAACUAACCUGGAACCAGUUCGGGUUCUCAGGACUCUGCUGAGCAGCAAGAACCUCGACGAACCCUUCGUUCUUGUAGCCACCCAUGUUGCUAGCAUAAGCGCGGGAAAGGUGGCGGUUCAGAGAAGCAGAAUUGAAUUGAGUCAGAACGUAGAUUUUUGAUAUGUUACUGUUCAAACAAUUGCUAACAGGGAUGUCGAUUAGCCUAUAGUUUGCUCCUAAUGGAACAGCCGGCUUAGCUCUCUUCUUUGUUAGUGGGUAUAGCCUUGUCCCUGCUCCACCUCCCAAAAUAAUCCCCAAAACACUCUGCCAAAAACAAUCAAAUUUCCAAUUUUCAACAACAAAAAAGAAAAAAGUCUCACUUUCGGAUCAGACAAAAGAUUCAGAGAGAUAAGCUAAGACUUACUCGACUAGCGUCGGGGUCAAGACAUGUCUGCGAGUUCUUGGAAUCUGAAACUGCUUUCGGUGAAACAAUUGAAGCAGUCCGUUCCGUUCGGCUACAACCAGUGGCUAUUUUGAAAACAAGUUUAUCACCGGACAGAGCAGACGCCGAGAACGACAAGCUCCGAGGAGCCGAUGACUUACGGCUCGAACAAACUGAAGAAGCAUUGAACGAAGCUGUAGAAGGCAACCUCAAAUCACCGAUGGCAGCCAUGCUCACCAUUUGUUUUGCCACGAUUUCACUCUAAUUGCUACUAAAAGAUGCAGGUGGAGUGGCAUUUUUAAGGUGGAAAGAGGAAAGGAUCUGAAAUCGAUCACACCUCGGGAAUGGAUUUGCCAUUAUUUUUUGAUAAAAUUACAAGCUUCACCUUCGAAGGUGGUUGAUUUGUUUCAGAAGAAGGGUGUUAUUGUAAUUAUGUAAUAAUUAAAUUGAUAUUUUAAAAGACUAAGAAUUAAUAAUUGGGUGGCUGUCAUUUCACAAGCAGACAUCGGUCACGUGAUUAUAGCAUAGAUCAGAGACAUUAGACACCGUCCGUUUUAUGACUUUUUUUUUUCAUUUUAAGUAAUAAACCAAAAAAAAAUUAAAAAAACCCGACGAAUUUUUUACAUAAAAAUAUAACUAUAAUAUAUCAUCUAUUUAAACAAUUAUUUUAUUAAUAUUAUUAUAAUAUAUUUGAGUAUAUUACAUAGAAAUUAUAAAUAGUUUAUAAAAAUAUAUUUUUAUAUUGCAAUUCUUUAGAGUAUGCAUGUGAAAAGUGAAGGCAAAAAGAGCAUGAAUCACGCGUACGCUGAUAAUUUUUUUAAAAUUGGUCUUCCUUACACGUGACUUUGCUAGAUUUCUUUCAUAAUGAUAAUAUAUGAAUAAAUAUAUACAUUUCCUGUCAGUUUAUACCUCCCAACCUUCAUCUGCAACAUGAUAUUGUUUAAUGAACUAAGAUUACAGAAUGUUACGAAAAAUAAAUUUAAUUCCGUAUAUAUAAAUUGUAUUAAUUGUAACCAUUAUAAUUUCAUCUGCGGCAAUACAUGUGGCGAGUUUAGGAGACGUCUAAACAGUAAAUCUGUCAUCAGUAAAUCAGUAGGUCAUCUGUGAACUCACCCUUCCAAAAGGACUAUCCGAGUAAUGACUGGCCUAAUGUUCAUUGGGAACAUGGAAUCAUUUGGUCACUAAAUAUCACGUAGGCUUAACUGUUUUAUUCCAUCAGAGUCAAAAUGAAGGAUAAUAUUUAUCCUAUCACAAAAAUCUCGUCCUAUCAAAGAUGAUUAGACGGCAAAUCCAACACCGUAUUAUCCUCCUAGAAGGAUUUAGCUAUAACUUCCUCCCUAGUUUUGGAAAUUUGAAGGGACAUCCUCUCCCGAGUCACCCGAUUGUGCGCUAGCAUCAGAAUCACCAUCGAAUUCAUGGACCCUGCACAAACAUUCAAUGUUAGCAACGAAAACACAGCUCAACUAAAUUAGCACAGCUCAUGAAAUGGCCUUAAGUUUAGAAACUGUGAAAGGAAACAUAAUAACAAGAGGAGGAGAAUAAGAAGAGAAAGUAUGCCAACAGCAGCAACAAUGGCCAGGAGAUGAAGGUUCUCGGGCAAGAGAAGUGGUGGCCAAGCCAGCAGUAAUGGUGAACAGAUGGGUAAGGUUGUCCACGUCAAGGAUCAGCCUUAGCGGUAAUAUUACAAAAAUUAAAAAUAAAUUAAAACAGACAUGUAUCAUUCACGUCAUCAUCCAUUGUGUAUUCUUUUUCGAUGUAAAAUAUUUAUUCAAAAGGUAUGUAUUUCUUUUUACUUAGAGAAAGAUUUUUUUUAAUAUUUAGAAAUUUACUUGCAAUAAAAUAAUUUAAAUUUAUUUAUAAUAACAUUAAUAAAAUUAAAUUUAUACAAAUUUAUAAAAUAAAUUUAAUAUAUUUUAAUUGAUAUAUAUAAUCAAACUCGUGGGUAAAAAACUAAUAAUUUAAUAUUUUUAUAGUUAUAAUAUCAUUAAUUUAAAUAUUUACAUAGUUUAAAGGUAUUUGCAUUUUAAAAUUUUAUCUAUUUAAAUUAUUAUUUAAGUUUUUAACUGAGUUGGUGUGGUGAGAUUUGAACCCAUGCUAUGUACAUUAAUAAAAUAUUAAAUUUACCACUAAAUUAAAUCAAAACUUUAUUAUAAUAGAAUAUGUACAUUUUAAUUGUAUUAUACAUACUCUGUUACCUCCAUCAAUUGCAUAUUUAUAUUAUAUAUAAAAUAAUUGACUGAGUUGAUAUCAUAAGUCAACUUGACACCCAUUCAAUUAUAAAAUUACUAACAUAUUUUUAUUUUAAAGGGUAAUUAAUAUUUUUAUAAUGAUAUUUUAGUCUUUUCAUACUUUUAGAUAAUUUUCAAAUAAACAAUUUAAUAUUGAGGGUGAUAAAAUUUAGUAUUGAUAAUGUUGUUGAUUGAGUUGACGCUAUAAGUCAACUCCACACUAAUUUAAAAUUGAUAAUAAUGCCGUAAUAAAUAAUUGUAACGCAUUUAGUAUUCUUAAUAUCAUGUAUUUACUUAUUUAAAUUUCAUUUUAUACAUAAUUUAAUUUAUUUUUCAUUUUAUAUGUUAUUAUUUCAAACCAUCCAUUUCAUUAUUUAUUAUAUGUCAUUAUUAAACUAAUCGUUGUAUUUUAAAUACAUAAUUUUCAUACACAAAUGGGUUGAUAGAAUUUCUAAUUUGAAUUAAAUAAUUAUAUUAUAAGAAUAAAAAAUGUGAAAUUAAAAUAUAAUAUUUUGAAUUAAAAAAGAAGUAGUAUUUGAUAUACCAAUAGUAUUUUUUUUUCAUUUUAUAAAAAGUUUUAAUUUUUUAAAAUAUUUUACCAUGAUCUUAUGCUACACUUAUCAACUAAAUAGUCUAAAAACUCUACUCUAGCUACCAAAUAUUUUCCAAAAAAAAGAAGAGAAAUUCAAUAAGCAAAUGCAGAAAUGGGGAUGGAACGGCAACGGGCUUAGGGCAGCGGGUGGGUUAGAUGAGGUAGGCUCGUGAAAUGUGCGGUUGUUUUGGUGGAAGUAGUUGAUAGCGAUAAGAGGCGUGGGGCCGACGGGAGUGGAUCAGAGAUGGGGUGGGGGUUCAAAUAAAAACAAAACAGGAGAUUUGUACACUCUAAUCGAGGUUUGAAGUCGACGGCAUUCGAUAAAUCAGGGAGAUGUUGAUAUACACUUUCAAAUCUAUAAUUUGCUACUGCAACAAUCUUAUACGAACCGUUGGCUUUGGAGAAGCCAAUUAUUUCUAAAGAAGUAAACAUCUUAUUAAUAGGCUUUAAAUGGAAGAGAUUCAUUUUUUUUGAGUAAAAUAAUAGAUAAUUUUAUUCAUUAUUUGUAGUACUGUAUUAUAUUCAUUAUUUAAAUAAACGCUUUUGAGGUAGAAUUUUGAGUAUCUUGAAUGGCAUGAUUACUUCGUUUAGUAAUAGUUUUAAUCGAGUUGUGAUUUACAUUGAUAAUUUAAAAAUAGUUCAAGCCGUACAGGAUAAUUUAUUGAGGAAUUCAGGCAUUACAAUUUUUAGAAGAGUCCAAAAGAUCAUGAAUACGGAAGGGCGUUGAAUGAUUCGACAUGUUCCCAAAGAAGAUAAUCGUGUUGCUGAUUGUUUGGCUAAAUUGAACUCAGAAAAGAUGACAGGUCUCCAUGUUUAUGACGAGUGUCUUCAUGAUGCCUCAGAAAUUCUAAUUCAAUAUAAAGCUAGGAGAGCGAUUGGUCAACUUAAUUUGAUGUAAUAUUUGCUUAUUUCACCAAAAAAAAAAAUUCUAGCAUAGUUAAAAUUUUGGUAAGUGUCAUAUUUAAAUUUUUUAUACAUCAACAAUAAAUUAAUUCACGGUUUAAUUUUUUUCUCUCAAUUUAAAAUAUUUUGAUAUUUUUUAUUUAAGUAUUAAAUAAAGAAUAAUAUAUUGCAUAUUGCCAAAAAAAAUAUAGACUCCAAGUAAAAUUAUUUGAUAUAGUAAAAUAUAUAUAAUAAAAAAACUAGUGUUGACUGAUAAAAACGGAGAAAUGAGAAUUGAAUCAGGAACUAAAUUGAACAAAUUAGAAGUAUCAGGGAUUAAAACAGUUAAAAAGCGCAGUGGGCUAAAUCAAACAAAUAAUAACUUACUAAUUGAAUCAACAUUAAUACAUAGACUUAUGUUUUGUAAAAUGAAUAUUUAUUUGUUAUGAAAUUUACUUUAUAUACUUGGAACUACUGUUUAUAAUUAAUUUUCAUUUGGAAUUUAAAAAUUUUAGCACUUGAUAAUUGAAAUUUACAUCUUAAAAUUAAAAUGUAUUGUUCUAAUAACGGUAUUAAUAGAUAUGAUAGAAUGUUGUUUUGUAAUUAAUUCUUGUUUCAAUUUGAUAUUAAUAAAAUUUAGGAAAAUGAGUUAUACAGAAAUUCUUUAAAUAGUUUUAAAAUCCUGUUUUAUUUAUAAUAAUUUUCUUUUUUGUAAAUAACAAAAAUUCAACUUCAAAAAAUUUUUGGAUAAGGGUAAACUAUCAAAACAGCCACUUUUGUUUGUCUCAGGUUACAUUUUAGUCACUUAUAUUUGAAAUGUUACGUUUUAGCCACUUACGUUAUCAUGUUAUAACAUUUUAGUCACUGAGCGUUAAUUUUCGUUAACGGCACAACGGUAAGCUGACGUAACAUGUUAAAUCACCAUUUCAAAUGAAAAAUUUUAGGUUAAAUUAUACAAUUGGUCCCUGUAUUUUUUUCAUUUUGAGCAAUUUAUUUUUUUCUUUUAUGUUCUUUGAACUUUUUUUUUUAAAUUUUCCAUUCUCUUCUCCUUCUCCCUUUGUUUUCCUCUUUUCUUCAUUUCUUUUAACGUAGUUUUUCUAUAUUUCCCAUUUGUUAAAACUAGACCCUAUACUUUUAUUUUUUUUUAACAAUUUAAUUUUUUCUUUUUAUUUCUUUAUUUUCCUUUUCUUCUUUCCCUUUAUUUUUCUCUCUUCUCAUAUUCUUCACUGUAGAAACAUAAUCUUUGCCCACCAAAUAAAUCAUAUCCUUGUUUUUCACAUAAUUCCUAAAUUGAAUUUCACUAAAAAUCAAAUAUCAAUCAUUGUUAAUUAAAUCUUGAUUUGAAUAUAACCUAAUUUUGAAACUAAAAUUGAAUCUAACUAAUAAAUAUAAAAAACCCAUAUCCUCAAUCAAAUCUAAGCAUAGAUUGAAUUCUUUAUAUUCAAAACAUUUCUUCCGUUUCCAAUCUUUUACAAAAUAGAGCAGAUUUUUGCUUUCCUUUUCUUUUAUUUUUUGACAAAUAAAAUUAAGCAAAUGAUAAAAUUGAUCAAAAACUUUUUGGAUAUUUCCAAGCAAACUUAAUUGAAACCCGAGCAUGGAUGAACCGAAGAGAGAAAGGGAGCAUAGAACCAAACCGGUUUAGGUAACGUUGAUGGUAAGUUUUGUAUGAUGAUUAUUUUAUUCAUUGAGAGUGCAUAGCUCGUUUGAAGAAUUCGUGAAAUAAUGUAGUGUCGAGAGGGCAAUAAUAUUGUAGGUAAGAUAGAUAAGAUGGUUGUGGGGAUUGAUUAAGAGGUUAAGGGAACAGGCUCGAGAAACUUUAUUGAGGGUGGACUACUAUAAGUCACGACUAACGAGAUCUUUGAGUGAGGCAAGCUUGUGGACUAGGUCAUUGAAGGAUCCAAAUUGGUUCGUUAAAGAGAUGAUGGACGAUGAGAGUUUGUAAUUGUGGGGUGAGAAUAUACUGAGCAAGUUUUAUUUUGGUUUCAGCUUGCGUCUUUUUUUUUCAUAAAAAUAAAAAAAGUUUUAAUAAAUAGAAAAUAUAGAAAAAUUGCAUUAAAAAAGAUGGAGAAGGGAAGAAAACAGAGGGAGAAGUAGAAGAGAAUGGGAAAAAAAAGAAAAAAAAAGAAAAGUUAAAAGAAAUAAAAGAAAAAAAAUUGUUCAAAACGAAAAAAUAUGGGGAUCAAUUAUACAAUUUAACCUAUAAUUUUUAUUUGAAAUGAUGAUUUAACGUGCCACGUCAACUUAUAUUACACCGCUAACGCAAUUAACGGCUUAGUGACUAAAAUGUUACAACACGUUAACGUAAUUGACUAAAAUGUAACAUUUCAAACAUAAAUGACUAAAAUGUAACCCAAGAUCAACAAAAUGACUGUUUUGGUUUAAAUUUCUAUUUUUGUUAUUUUUAUUAUAUAUAGACUUCUUUUUUAUAUAUAAAAGAGGCUUUUAUUUAUUAUAUUUAAAAUCUGUUUCCUUUUAAAAUUUGGAUAUUGAUACAUAACACAAUCUUUCAUCCUUUUACAUUUUAAAAUUUCCCAUGUAAAAUUAUUUUAUACAUAAAGUGGCUUUAAUUUAUUAAAUAUGUAGUUUCAAUGCCUGUAUGGCAAUCAACUUAUUGAUUAACCUUUUCAUUUUCAUUUUAAUUUCUUUUAUAUUUAACUUUUUUGACUUAAUUAAAAACAAUUCUAAAAACACUUUAAAAUUAAUAUUUGAAAUACUAGAUAUUAAAAAUGAUGGUAACUAUAGUAAGAAUUCUUAAAACGACAAUGAUGAGAACUAAUCUGUUUUCAACCCUUAGAUCAAAAUGAAUAAAUCUAAGUAUUAGAUUUAAGAUUUAAUCUACAAUAGUACAACACCUAAUCUUCUUCUUUUUUCUCCAUGUAAUACAAGUUUUAGAAACAAACAAGAUUUUGAUAAUAUCUUACCUUUAGGUUUAAUUUUUAUUUUUGAAGAAAAAAUUGGAAGCAAAUUUACAACGGGAUAGAAAGUAAGAUAUUAGAGUUGUGAUCCGAAUUCUUAUUAAAAUAAAAUACAAAUGUCAAGAUAAGGCGAUCCACGAGAGCGAAUGCCGCAGGCCAUUGUGGAUCCCCAAUAAGCAAGAUACUGGACUAGGGUCGGCCCCUGCUGUAUGGUACAUGCUGCACAAGAAUAAUCCGUAUAGAAGUUUAUUUCAUCUGUUUGAUGUUGAUUUGAAUAAGGUGUUUCAACAUUAUUGCAUUACUUCUAUUAGAUGUUGAUUAUAAUAAAAUUUUCUAAACCUAUAAAUAGACGCGGUCUAUACUCAUUGUAAUCAUUCGAAUUCGACAUAGUGAAUUUUCUUCUUCUCUGCCCGUGGUUUUUUUUCCCAAAAAGAUUUCCACGUAAAAUCUAUGUGUUUUAUUUUUUUUCUCUCUUUUCUUGUCAUUAUCGACAUUCUAUUUUUACAUUGGAAAAAAAUGUAGAGAACUUCACUUUAGAUAUUUGGGUUUCCAUCAACCAAGAAAAAAAAAAUCUCAAAUAUCAAAUACCUAAAUUGCUUAGUCUUAAUAUUGCUUUCAAUCUCGUUGUAAAAUUGCUUCCAAUUUUUUUCUUAAAAAAAAUUGAAACUAAGAGAUUACUCAAUUUUUAAAAAUUUAAAACUUGUAUUACACGGUUAAAAGAAAAAAAAAAAAGAGAAGGAAAGAUUGAAUGUUGUGCUUUUUAUUUGGCUUAAUGAUAAAUUUUGCCACUAACAUUUACAUGUUUUGUCAAAAUGAUUCUAAUUGUAUUUUUGAGCCUUUUUUAGCCAUCAACCUUUAUUCUUUUCUUUUUUCAAUCCGCUUAUUCUAACAGAGUUAAUGAAUAAAUUAAAGGUUUCGAAUUUUUUGUUCUUUCAAAAGGUUUCAAUCUUUCAUAAAUUUGUUUACUGAGAAGUUUUUCUACUAAGUUAAUUUGUUUUACAUAAUUACAUUUAUUUUCUUUAAAUUAAGAGUUUUUUUAAUUUAUUAUUUUGUUUAUUUAUUUUAUUAUUUUCCACAUGUAAUUAUCUUAUUGGGUUAUCUAAAUAAUAAAUUAUAUCUAAUUAAAAAUAUACCACAUAUGAAAUUCUACAUCAUCCUUGUUAACUUUUUUAAUGGUAUUUUCAUUAAAUUUAUUAGAAAAAGCAUAUUGAAAAAGAGAACAAAUGUUGAUUGUAAAAAAAGACUCAAAAAUACAAUUAAGGCCAUUUUGACAAAACAUGCAAACGUUAGUGACCAAAUUUGUCAUUAAACCUUUUUAUUUUAAUGAAAUAAAUUAAAUAUUAAAUCUAAAGAUUAAAAUUAUUUAUUUUGAUCUAACAGUACAGAUGCCACUAAUAUAUACACAUUGAUAUUAUAACAUAAUUUUGGAAAACGCUUUUUGCAUUUCAAAAUAAUAAAUAACAAAUCAAAUUAAAUAUUACAUAUUUUUAAAUAGAAUUAAAAAUAAAAUGAUAUUAAAUAAAUAAAUUUUGUAAAAAAAUUAUGUCACAUUAAGAAUAUUUUUUUUAAAAAAAUUAACUCUGUAAACAUAGUUUAUGUUAUUAAAAUAAAAAGCAAUUGCUUUUACAAAACCAAAAUUUUGUUGGUAAAAGUAAUAGGAAACUCUGAAUAAAUUGUAUUUCGACUCUUUUACUAAAAAAUAGAUAAAUUAGUUUUUAUACAUUUCGAAAUAUGUAAAUUAGCCCAUUCGUUAAAUUUUAUUUGUUAAAAGAUGAUGUGGAAUGUUAAUUUAAAUGGUUAAUUAUUAAUUUAACCCCUUAGGUAUAACUAAAAUAUUAUUUUGAUUUUUAAAAAUUUUUCUAAUAAUAAUUCUAUAAAAUUAAAAAAAUAUUAAAAAUAAAAAUAAAAAAAAUAAAAAAAGUAAAAAUUCAACAAAUUGAUCUCUCAAUAUUUACAAAAUUAGUCAUUUUAAUUCUAAUUCUAAAAAAAAUCAAUAAAUUUAACCCUUAAUUAACAUCUUCAAAACCUUUAAAUUUAAACCUAAUUCCAAAAAUAUUUUAAAAAACAUGGUUUGGUUUUAAUAGUUCAGCCAAUCCUUUUGCACCACAUGUCCAAUAUAAAUAUAAUAAAUAAUAUAGUUUUAUAACCAUCUAUUGGCUCUUUCUCCUUCCUAUCCUCAGACCACCUUCAAAAUUUCUGUGAGAUUCCAUAAAUGACUGAAAGAUUAAAAUCCACCAUUAUCCCUAUUUCUUGACAAAGUUACGAGUGGCAAAAGGACGACUAGAUUUUAGUAUAUUUUUUGCUCUUCUUUCUAUACAAACAACAGGGGAAGCCAAGGCAAGGAAGGUUAGCAAUUGCUCAAAAUAAUUAUAAAUUUCUCCUAGCUAUCCCUUAUUCCCAUCUCCACCCUCAUUUUUCCUUCACCUUCGGUUAUUAUCAUCACCCAAAAAGCCUCCAUUGCUAUAGCUUGCCAACUUCCAUUGCCGUUCGGCUACCUCCCCAACCAACCACAAAUAGAACCAAACUCCGUUCACCAUCAUUCAAGCCCCUCGAUUAUCACCAUUACCGAACUGCCAUUAAAACCCUAAACCGUUAUUAUUAUUUUAGUUAUAGUUUAAUUGAGGGGCUAAUUUGCAUAUUUUGAAAUGUGUUAGGAUUAAUUUAUUUAUUUUUUCAGUAGAAUGGUCGAAAUACAUUCUGCCCUUAAAUAUAAGGAUUACCCUGAUAUUUUUACUAAAUUUGGUUGCAUUUAUAAUUUAAAUUAACAUGUUUAUUAUACAAUUUUGUCAAUUCAUUUGCAAGUUAUUGUUUCACGGACUAGAACUUUAGUUUUGCAAUUCGUGCGGGCUUAGACGAUCCUUUCGAUGUUAACAUGUCUAAGUCAGCUAACCACCAAAUAAUUGAGGAUUCACAAAAAAUUCCUCUAAGACACCAAUUUAUAUAUAUAGCAGAAGCAACUCUAGUUAAAAGAAGGCACAAAAGAACAAAAAACUAUGCACGAGAAGUGUUUGAGUAAAUGCUCUCGAUUGUAUUACUUUAUCUAAAAGAAUACAAGAAACAAUAAAGAAUGAAAUGAUCUACAAGUGCGGAGGAGACUCUCUAUUUCUAGUUGAGCUCCCCCAAAAUCGACGGUCUAGAUCAAGUUACAUUGAAGGACGAGAUUAAGUCUAUCCCUAUAAUCAAAUCAAAGGAUUUACAAUAUUUACAUAAUCAAAUCAAAUCUAAUAAAAUAUAAUUCCCUUCAAUCUUCUAAGAUUAGUUCCCUUAUUUACUAAUGUAGUCCAUCUUUCCAUAUCUGCAUCAUUAGGCCAUUUAGGCUUCAAAUGGACAGGCUUCUUCAAUAGCUCUUUGAAUCGGGCCAACUCUCGUGAUUCUAAUAAUCCCCAUCUAAUCGAUAGACCUUUAUUGAAUGUAUUUUGUGCGAUGGUCAUGAGCUUUAAACUGCAGCAUGUGACAAUUACACAUUGCUUAAAAAAAUUAUAUUUUAUUUUAUUAAAAAUAGAAGUUUGAAAUGAUAAUGUUCCACCUUCGGCAUGAAUAUUUUUAGAUUUCAAAAACAUAUUAAUUUAUAAUUUCAAGAAUAAUUAUCGUUUUAAAGGUUAGAAUUUGUUACUUAUUUGUUUAUACAUUGAAACAAGCUAAUGAAUUUGUUAAGUUUUUAAUUAAAAAUAAAUAUAUUAUUUAAAAAUUUCAAUUUAUUAUAAUUAAAUAAACGUUUAAUUUAUAACUUAUUAUAUCAUUUACGUUUUGGAUAGGAGUUUGUUACUUUUUGUUUUCUUAUAAUUGGGGUCAUAGAAUUUCAUCUAUUUAUUCACUCGAUUUAACUUUUGAAUACAAAAAUUCAAAAAUAAUUUUUUUAAAUUAAUCCAGAAAAAAAAUAUCUUUAGAAUUAUUCAUUGGUACGACAUGCCCUUUUUCCCAUCCACCCUUUUUAAGAUCAAUCUGAAUCUUACAAACUCUAUCGAUGGUAUGCACGAAUUCUUUUCUUCGAACAAAUAUGUAAAAGAUAAUAUAAAUGUUGAAAAUAACUACACAAAUUUAUUAUUAUUUCAUUAAAACACACAAUCGACUUGUACAUCGCACGAGUAAGAUAAAACUAGUUAUAUCAAUAUAUAGUUUACUAGAUUAUUUUUGUAAUUGAAUGAUCAAUUCAACUAAUACUAAUUAUUAAAAAAAAUAUAAAUCUAAUAAAAUUUAAAUUUAAAAUCUAAAAAAUUCUGUUCACUUUGAAUAUUUUUAUAAUAUAUUUCAACUUCGUUUUAGGAAAAUAAAAAGUUCCUCAUAUUUACUCAUUCUUUAUGUUAUUAUUGAAGAGUGUAGUGAUUUAAAUAAAAUAAAAAUUAAAGCAUUAUUGGGGUAAAUAUGGGCCAAGAAUUUAGGCCCAAAUUUACAUGCAACAAUGAAUGAGCCUUUCCCUUUUUUUUCUUUCUAAUAAUUAAAUAGUAAAAUGUACUUAAAAAAAAGGGGGGGGGGGAGGAAAGGGUUUUGCAUUUGAAAAUUUGAAUCGCCAUCAAACUCAGUUCUGGAGCUUUACUCUCAUUUCACUGCUCAAAAUUUUCAAACAUGAAGCUCGUGAGGUAAUCAUCCUUCCUUGUUUUUCAUUCCUUUUUUGUUUAACAUUUUAUUUUAUUCUUUAAUUUUCAACUAAGAAGCAACAUUCAUUAAAAAAAAUUAAUGUAAAUAAUUACUUUUUUUUAAAAAAAAAAAGGUUUUUAAUGAAGUUAAAUAACGAGACUGUCUCCAUCGAGCUCAAGAACGGAACUGUCGUCCAUGGCACCAUCACAGGUUCGUAUCUCUCUUUAUUUAGUAUACAUUUUCAAUUCAAGCUUAUGGUUUUCAUUAUUCUCCUUUGGGCUUUUCAAUGAGCCCUAGGUUUUGAUUUUUAUACGUAAUGGUUUAAUGAGAAUCAAUCUAAUUUAUAUAUAAGCUCUUCUUGAUUGAUGCUCUUAUUUGCUUUUGCCAUUGCUUUUUUUUUUUAUCCCUUUUUUGCAUUCUAUUCAUUUAUUUGCCGAAAGAGGCAAAAUAUUGCGUAUUUUGGUUAAGAGAAAUUAUCUCAUCCACAUUGUUAGUAGGAUUAGCAUGGUGACAUAAAUGACUUAAUCAUAUUAUUUAAAAUAAAUAAAUUUCAUGGUCUUUAAAUUCCGCUCGUGGAGUAGGAAAAUACCUUCACUACUAGUGUUUUAAGAAUGAACUAAUACGAACUUAUGGACCAUUAAUUGUGAUUGGCUCUUCAAAUUGUGAGGAAAAAGAACUGUGGGCUUUUCCCAUUUUAAGUUCAUCUCCAUAUAAACUAAUUGUGUUAUUUUGCACUCUGCUGUUCCUUUUUAUUGAAUAUAUGUCGUUGAUUGUCAAUUUUUAAAACUUUAUAUAAAUCGGCAUGAUUCUUUGUUUUAUUUUUUCUUUCUUUAUUGCCACUUCACUAGGCUUGUAGUUGGAAAACUAUAUGAAAAUACUAGCAUGCAGAAGCUUCAUUUGCUUGAUUCGAUCUAAUAUUCAACAUCAAGGAUGAGCACAUUUUGAUAGUGGACUCAUAGAAUGUUACAUAUGCCAAUUUUUUUUCUCAGAAAAUUGUGUAACAGCUAACAAGUACCAUGUUUUGUGUUUUGAUUCUUCAUGUUAAAAUGAUGGAAGCUUUAGCUGGGCGACUGAAAUUUUUAACAUGACCUAGAGAUAGUGUUCAGACUUUUGUUAUGUAGCUGUUUUAGUGUCCAUCCUCCGUUCUCUAAUAAUGUUUUCCAGCUAUUCUCUCUGUUAAAUGCACUGUGUGAAAAUUGGCUUUGCUGGAAUCUUGUAGGGGUUGAUGUUAGCAUGAAUACACAUUUGAAGAUGGUGAAACUAACGCUCAAGGGAAAAAACCCCGUUACUCUUGACCAUCUGAGUGUCCGGGGUAACAACAUUCGUUAUUAUAUUCUCCCUGACAGCUUGAAUCUGGAAACUUUGCUUGUGGAGGAGACACCAAGAGUUAAACCUAAGAAGCCAGCUGCAGGUAUUUAUACAUUUCACUCUUCUAUUAUUUUGAUCUCAACACUCGUUACUUUUGUGUGCAUCAUUUACUCAUUUCUACUAAUUUUGCCCAUCAUCUAUUCAGGACGGCCUUUGGGACGUGGUCGGGGUAGGGGGCGUGGACGUGGUCGUGGCAGAGGUCGCUAAUUGGCUUUCUGCAAUUUGCCUGCAUUGGGUACCUUACUAUUUUAGUGUGCUCGAGCAGAAUUUAAGGGAGCGAAGUUUGAAGUAUACAGUAAGAAUCUGUCUAUUUAUAUCUGCCCCUAGUUGCCUGCUGUAGUUUAAUUGUUAUAUAUAGUUGAGCCUGAGAUUGUAUGCAAGUGAAUAAAAACGGCUGUCCUCUUUCUGUAUGGUCUAAAUUAGUAAGCAUUUGAAGGUGCGGUUAAAGGGAAGAUGAUGUGCAUGUGGGGAUGACUUGGACUAAUGGUUCAUCAAGCCAAGGCUAGCUAUGUUUUUGCAACAAACAAACCUCUCAAAUUUGAGUGAGUGUUUAUAUAUAUAGUGAUAUACUAGUAUUGUACAAAGCUGCAAAUUCUUUUCUUCUGUUUUGCCGGGGGGGGGGGUCAGUUAUGUUACAAAAAAAAGAGAAAAAAACAGAUGACUUCUUUUGUCUCAAAAAAAUGGUUUUUACAGUAAUAAACGUAUGUGAAGAAUGUAAAGAGUGUUAAAGAAAAUAGAAAGAAGAAAUUGACAUGGAUUAUGAUCUCUUCCCCCCAUUCUGUUCCAUCCUUCAAACACUGCAAAUGGUAUUUAAAAGAGAAAAAAAAAACAGUAAACAAGUUAGGGCUUUUAGCAAAAGGCUAUUCUCGGAUUAUAUUACCCUUGAAGAAUUAUAAUAGAAUCAAAUCAAAAUGAAAAUGGUUAAAGGCCCAAAAUAUAAGGUUUGGUAACAAUUUCGGCAUUUACAAGUUGGUUUCAAUAUUUCAUUAUUGUUGCAAGUUAGGUGUUUGGCUUUAGAGGUAAUUUUUAUUUUGAUUCUGUUGAGAAAAUAAAAGCAUUAAGGGUGGUUAAUUGAGUCUUAGUUUGAUUAGUAUCGGUAUUGUUGUUAGUGUAGGGGGACAUGAGUUGGAGUACGUUGAAGUGCAUUAUCUUAUUAUUUAAGGGUUGGGGAGGGGUUAUGGGUAGUUUUAAACAUUGUAUAAAAAAGAGCAGAUAUGAUAAGAACCUAUAAUGAGAUUAAUGUUAAAAAAAAUCGAAUUGCAUAUGUAGUAUGUUGGCCCAAAAAUAUAUUCGAUAAAUGCAAUUACUAAUAAAAUUAACAAGACAAAUAAUCAUUCUAUACAACUUUAUUUAAUUAUUCUAGCAUUCAUAUUUGGUGGGCUCUAUCAUCUCUAACAUUUAACAUAUAGUCAUUGUCAUUUUGAGUUAUCUUUGAUUAAAUAAAGAAUCAAUACUAUAUAAUAUGUAAUUUAGUUAAAUUGGUACAAAUAAUAUAUAAUUUAAUUAAAUAUUUAGUAGGUCAAAAUAUAUGAGAAAUUAGUAAAAGUUUUAAAUUAUUUCAAUGAUAUUAGUAAAAUAAUAUAUAAUUCCUAAAGUGAUAGAUAUUAUGCGGUUAAGCACGAUUGAAUUCAUGUUCACCAUAAUGUUGUAGCAACAACGAUGUCAAUCAAGUUAAAACUUAAUCAAUAAAACAUAUCCUAAAAUUAAAAUAAUAUUAUUAUAGUAUAAAAAUCAUUCCUUUAACUUAUACAACAUACAUGUGUGUUUGGAAAGUCAUAGUGUAGUUAGAUUUGAUUCUUACUUUUCCCUAAGAAUUAAAAAGUGUAAUAUCACAUGUGUAUAUUUUUAUAAGUAAUUACAUUUAAACUCAAUUGUUAAAUGACCUUUUCAAAUGAUACUAUAGGCCUAGAACUACCCAUAACCUCUUCUCACCCUUAAAUAGGGUGAUAAAUGUGCUUUCGCGUACUCGAACCUAUGACCUCCUACUCUGACAACAAUAUUAAUACCAUCCAAACUAAGACUCAGUCGACUUGGUUUCUUAUAUAUUAUUUUGCAAUUUUGAGUGUGUUAGGUUUUUAAAAGGUCAAAUGCUAGUAUUAAAUCUUGUACUUUGCAUAAGUUGUGGAUUUAGUACUUGUACUUUGAUUUGAUCGUUUUCAGUCUAUGUACUUUUAGAUUUUUAAAAUUUUAGUCUUGAUUGAAUGGUAGCUAUUAAAUUCAUUAAGUUAUGUUAUUUUUAAAAUUUGAUGUGUUAAACAUAUUAUUACAUGUAUAAUGCCAUAUCAGUUUACUAUUUACACAUAUUACUAAAAAAGACUAGUUAAUGGAUUUACCAACUGUUAUUUACAUUAAGAUUAAAAUUUAGAAAAUCAAAAAAUGUAGCAAUUAAGACGCAUAAUAUAGGGCUGAUAGCAGAAUUUAACCAAACAGAUUUAAUUGCUAUCGCUUGGUUAAGACUAAAAUUUAAAAAUUUUAAAAAUACAAUGACUUAAAUUGACCAACUCAAAAAGUAAAAGAAUUAAAAUUGAUCAAAUUAAAGUAUAAGUAUUAAAUUCACCAAUUACGUGAAGUACAGGGUCUAAUGGUAAAAUUUAACUUUGUUUCAUUACAUAAUCUGAUUUGGUGAACUUAAAGUGGGUUUCAUAUGUAUAAAUGAAACUUUGAUUUUGAUUAAAUUGUAAACAUUUAGAGAAAUAAAUACAUUUAUUUUUAUAUUGGUUUAAUAUAAUAGCUUUUGUAUGCAAUAUAUCAACGUAAAACAGUGCUAAUUUGAUAAUGUUAUUAGUAGUUUUUAAAAAUUGAUCCUAAUCAAAUUUUCACAUAUAAAACCACAUAAAAUCAAAGUUGAUAUUUACUCAUUCAUUAAAUUUGUUUUAUAAAAGUUAAAAUUUAAAGCCUUGACUUUGAUUAAAAAAUAAUGCUAAAAAUAAGAGUUAAAAUUGAUGAAUUAACUUUGAUUAAAAUUCAUGUAAAGGUAUUUUUAUUAAUAAAUUUUAAAUAUAAAAUUUGAGUAUGAUUUUCCUAAUUUUCUUUUCAUGUAUCCGAAGUGGCUUGGGGAUCAAAAGCAUAAUUCUUCUUGGGUUCUUCAAAAUGAUUAUUUCCUAGGGACCAUUUUCUUCUUUCUUUGACAUAUACUAUAUGUUCAUUUAAAUCAUUUCACUCGUGCGGUGCCAAAAAUAAAAAGAUGAUAAACUUUUCCUGGCUGCAAUGACAGGGGAUGAAGUCACCAUCAUAAAUAAUAUUACGAUAAUAAUUACUACAAUUAAAUGGUCACCUUUGCCUUCGACCCCCCAAACGAAAGGCAAAAUAGAUAGAUGAAGCAUCACUUUCAUAUAUAAUUAGACAACAUGCACUUGCAGUGUUCAACAGUGUUCCCAUACCUUUCCUUUUCCCUUUAUAAUUAUGGUUAGGGAUAAUUGUUUGAAGCAUGCAUGGAUGCCAAAACACGACACACUGAUUAACACAUAACGUAAUAUAAGUAAAUUAAUUAAAUUUUGAUAAUCUGAAUUCAUCCUUUGGUAUUUCCAUCUUAAGCUCUCUUCGUAGAUACAAGGCUUUUCUAUAUCGGAUCCUAGUCUCUAGUUUUUAGUUUAAUUGGUCCAAUCAAGUAGUUUGAUUCUGUUCAAAUAACUUUGCUUUAAUGUAAAAAUACCUUUAAACUAUAGUGUUUUUGAUAUUUUAAGUUUUUUACUUUUAAAUGUUAUUCUAUAACUAUUUAUUUAAAAUUUUCAUUUUAAAUUUAGUUACAUUAGAUUUGACGUGUCAUUUAACAAUUAAAUGAAUAGUUUUGGUACAAUUAACUCUUUGAAUAAAUUGAGAAGAAAUUGAUAAUUGAAGUACCGAAUUUGACCAAAACAUUUAAGUACCUAAGUGGGAAAAGCAAUAUAAUUUAAGGGUUAAUUUUAUAGUUAAGCCUAGGUAUAAUUACUCUUUUAACUAGCAAAUAUGAUAAAAUUUAAGCUUUAUGACAAGUUUUCUUUUUCGGUACAACUAUGAUUUAAACUUUGACUAUUCUUGAAAACAGUGAACACUUAAUCAAUAGAUCAAAAUUAUAUGUAUAUGUGGAGUAUGCCUCGCAUUUCAGUCAAAUUUUGUCACAAACAGAGAGCGGUGUCGCGGCGAUGCAAUGACAAAAACAAGGGAGAAGUAGAAACGACGUGGAAACGACAUGACAGGGACAUCGCGAUGUGGCAACGUGUCAUGCAAUUUUCUUGGUUUUCUUCUCCUAGUUAAACUCUAAGUAUUUGUUUCAACUGAACUCUAAUUAUUGUAGAUUAUUCUAAUAUUAUUUGACCUACGAAUUUAGCCUAUAAAUAGACACUUUACUAUCCUAGAAAGAUUUAACCCAUUAUACAUUUAGGUAUUAGUUUUUGCAAGCUUUCAAAGAAUUUGUAUUUAGUUUUGAGGGUUCUUAUUUCGGGUUUCGGGAUUUAGUUUUAUCUCCAUCUUUGUACUAUUUAUUUUUGCCGUUAUAAUGAAAUUAUCUUUGCCCUGGUUUUUAUCCUCUUCGGAGGAGUUUUUCCACAAAAAAAUAUGUGUUUGAUCUCUUCAAUUAGAUUAUUAUUUUACUUAUUUGUUGCUUAAUUGGGUUUAUCACCUACAAACUGGUAUAAGAGCUAGUUCAACUUUUGCAUACAACCCAUUCAGAGAUGACAACAACAAGGUUCAACAUUGAGAAGUUCGAUGACAUCACAAAUUUCAAUCUGUCACAAGUUCGGAUGACAACAAUACUGGUCUAAAACAAUCUGAAAAAGGUUGUUACAAAGAAAAAGCCCGCAAAUAUGAAACAAUUAGAAUGGGAAGAGCUUGAUGAGAAAACUCUGUUUGCAAUUCAGUUGUGUCUCAUAAGUAAUGUAUUACAGGAUGUGUUGAUGGAGAAAACAUCAUACACCUUGUGGAAAAUGUUAGAAACCGUUUAGGCGACAAGGUCUCUAACUAAUCGAUUGGUGUUGAAACAACGGUUGCACACGUUUAUCAUGAAUAAAUGUGAGCACCUUAAAGGUCACAUCAGUCAAUUUAUUACUCUUUUUAAUGAUUUAAAGAAUUCAGAGGUUUAUAUUGACGAUUGAGAUCAGACUAUACUAUUAUUGUGCUCUUUACCCCCUUCAUACAAGUCUUUCAAGGAGGCCCUAAUUUAUGGUAGAGAUAAUCUCUCGUUCGAGGAUGUGAAAGGUCAUCUAUUGAGUAAAGACAAACUUGACAAUGAGUUUGGUUCAGAUAGCAAGUCAGAUAAAUAAGCCUCAUUUUUGGUAGCAUCAAGGAAGCGAGACAAGAGAUGUUGCUAUUGUAAGAAUUUAGGUUAUGUCAAGGCAGAUUAUUACAAACUACGAAAUAAAAGGGCUUUUGAGAGCAAUGAGGAAGGUUUAGCUGGUGCUACUUUGGCCAAUGAAAGUGUGAUGAUUUAUUGUUGGUGUCAACAAGUGAAAGCUCCGAGUUUACGUCCGAAUGGAUCUUGGAUUCAGGGUGUUCUUUCCAUAUGUGUCCCAACAGGGAUUUGUUCUCCACAUAUAGUUCAGUUGAAGGUGGAGUUGUGCGUAUAGUGAAUGGUUCACCCAGUAAGAUAAUAGGUAUUGAUACUGUUCAGAUUAGGAUGCAUGAUGGGACAAUCAAGACAUUGUCAGACGUCAGGUAUGUACCUGAUUUAAAGAAAAAUAUCAUCUCAUUGGGAAAUCUGGACUCGAAGGGUUGUAAAAUUAACAUCGAGUCAAGCGACAUUAAAGUAUCUCGUGGGGUAGUCGUUUUGAUGAAAGGUAAAAGGAUUGACAUUCUUUUUAUUUUGGAAGGAUCAACGGUGACCGGUGUAACAGGAUGUCUUUUGUCUAUUAAGGAGUCGAAGUCGACUCAUUUGAAGCAAAUGCAAUUUGGUCAUAGGAGGGAAAAAUGUAUUAUAGUUUCGUAUAAGAGAGGUUUUCUUUUGAAUGCAAGUUUUGAAAAGAUAGGGCAUUGUGUUCGUGAAAAUCAGACUCGAGUCAGUUUUGAUUUGGCAGUGCACAAGCUGAAGACUAGAAGUCUUCCAGCUUCAAAGGUCAGACACAACUUCGACUUAAUUAAUAUUCUGCAUAGUUUGAGAUAGGCCUGUGGCAGGCUUUGGAAAAGAUGGCAUUAUGGAAAUACGAGUUUAGGUGGAGAUUUGUAGAGUAUGCCUCGCAUUUCGAUCAAAUUUAGACACAAACAGAGAGCGAUGACGAAAACAGGGGAGAAGCAAAAACAUUGUUGCGACGACAUGACAUCGUGGCGUGGCGACUUAUCAUGCAAUUUUCUUAAUUUUCUUCUCCUAGUUAGCUUUGAGUAUUUGUUUUAGUCGAACUCUGAUUAGUGUAGAUUAUUUUAAUAUUAUUUGACCUACGAAUUUAGAGUAUAGAUAUGCACUUUUCUACCCUAGAAAGAUUUAACCCAUUAGACAUUUAAGUAUUAGUUUUUACAAGCUUUCAGAGAUUUUUGUGUUUAUAUUUUGAGGGUUCUUAUUUUAGAUUCCGGGGUUUAAUUUUAUCACCAUCUUUGUGCUCUUUGUUUUUGCCGUUAUAGUGAAAUUAUUUUUGCCUGCGAUUUUUUAUCCUCUUCGAAAAUGUUUUUCCACGUAAAAUAUUUGUGUUCGAUCUCUUCAAUUUCUUCGUUAUUUUACUUUUUUGUUACUUAAUUGAGUUUAUCUCUUACAAUAUAUAUGGAUUAUUCUAUAUUAAUAGAGUUUUUACCCGCUAUAUGCCUAUGUAGUAAAAUAUUUUUUGUUCAUUGAUAUAUGCAUCUAUAGUGUAAAAAAUUACAAAUAUUAAGUAUUAUAGUUAUCAACAUUUGAUAAUAUUUUAUCAAAUGCCAAUUCACAUAAACUAAUUAGUAUCAAUGAUUUCAAUCAAAAUGAAUCAUUAUAUCGAUUGAAUGAGUAACUCAACUGAAAAUAUUCUACUAAUCAAAUAUCAAAUAUAACUCAAAACUCACAAUAUUCAAUUGAUUAAAUAAGUAUCUCAACUAUAACUAGCCAAUCCACACAUAGUUUUCGGAUGGCAGCAUUAGAAUCUAGGUGUUGGAGGUUCUAAAUUUUGGUAAACUCAAAUUCUUAUCGAUGUGAUCAAUAUUCUUUUUCGAUAUAAUUAUAAGUGUUUUCAUCUAUUUUACGGUUUGAGACUAAUACCAUUUGAGGUAAUUGUGACAUUUAGAUAAAAUUCUCUCAAUAAUAAUAAUUUCGAAAUUCCCAGCUUAUUCCACGUACCAAUCAUUUAUGGGUGAGAUUGGUAUUAGUUUCAAUAUCAAAUGUAAUAAUUAUAAUUUUUACUAAAAUGAAUUUUUUCUUUGUUAUACUGUCAAAUAUUUACAACAUAAAGGUGAUUAAUGCAUCACAGCUCCACGGUCAACAAACUUGAUUACAAUAAAAGGAGAGAGGAAAAAGUAACAUUAUUCAUUUAUGCUUAAAAGCUAAAAUCAAAUCAAAGCAGGAAAUGUUUGUUUCAUUUUAUGAGAUUCCAAAAUAAUAAUUUAUCUAUAUUUUAACUCUUAUGCUCUGUUAUUUGUUUAGGUAGAUUUUUAUUUUUAAGAAUUUAAUUGAUUGUUAAAAUUCUUUUAUAAAUUUAUUGGUGCCGACAUUUUGAAAUUAAAAAAAUAUUCACUUCGUAGUUACGCAACAAUAAAAUAAUGUUAAAAAUGUUGAUGUGAAUUUUUCUUAAAAUAUUUGGUCGAUUCCAAAUUUUUUAUUGGAAUAAUAUUCUUAAGAAAAAUUAACAUAUACAUUUUAAUUAAAAGAGUUAACUAUUUAGGUUAAGUAAUGAUAUUAUAAAAGUAAAAAGCUAAAUUAUGUAAAAAGUUAAAAAAGUUAUAUAUUAGAUCUCAAAGUUUCGUACGGUAAAAAGUUUAAAACUGGAAUUUGAUGAUUGCUAUAUAUAUUUUAAAAAAAGCACAAAAGAAAAAGAAAAAUGGUGCUAUUUAAAUUAUCAAUAAUAAUAAUAUACAUUACAUUAUAAAGAAAAUUGAUUCAAACUCUAAAAAUAAGAUUACCGAAAAUAACCUACAUUGAAUAUGUGAGGUUUUUUUUUUUAUAAAAGUAGUAUUUAAAAAAUAAUUAAUUAUAAAAAUGGGGUGUUUAGUACAAUAGCUUUGGAUGUCACUUGAUAUAUUGGCGGUAUCUGUGAAUUUUUUUUAAAAAAAUUAACAGGAAAAUAAAAAAAAAUCAAAAUAUUGAAUUUUUUUUACACCGCCUGAUAUAUUGGCGGAAUCGGUGAAUUAUAAAAAAAAUUGAUGACAAAAAAAGGUGAAAAAAAUUAAUUUGUGGUUUCAACGCCAGACAAUAGCUUUUUCUUUGCAUUUAAUGUGUUAAUGGCUUUUCUAUGUAUUUAAUGCCUUAAAUGUAUUUUUCAAGCAUUUUUUAUUUAAUUAAUGGAUGCGGCUGGACAUAUUGGUGUUAUCAAUUAAAAAUACUUUUUUACUUUUUCAGUUUUUUUCUUAUUAAAAUUUUUUAAAAAUAUUUACCCAAACUUGUACCUUAUUUUAAAAAGAAUAUAUGGAUAAAUAUGGGUGUAAUUUUGAUUUGUUUGUUCUCCUUUUGCGUUGGUGUAAUUGAAUCACAUUGCUCGAGAUAGCACGAGGAGAUGUCAGUUGGACCAAACUCUUGCUUCCAUCUUUAAUGCCUUUGACUCCAUUCUCUUUUUCUCGAGCUAUGGAUUUGACAAGUAUUGAUUACUCUUUAAAACUAUUCCUUCUUCUUUAGGUGUCAAGUCCAAAGCCUAAAACACCUUAAUCCCAAUUUUCUUCUUGUAAUCUUGUGAGAUGGGGUAUAUAUAUAUAUGCACUUUGUUGCCAAUUAGGCUGUAUUACCAAUCAAAGUAAGGUUUUUAAUGGUCAAAGGGGGUUGAGCACAAAACCUUCAUCAUUGACGUACACAAAAUCUGGUUUCAUGUCUUCAACAAUCCAAACUGUCGUAUUUGUAUAAAAAUAAAAUUAAUAAAACAAAGCAGCGGAGCCCUCCCCGCAUACAUGCAGGGGAUACUUUCUUGGCCUCGUAUUAGUAUCUGUGGGGGACACUGUACAUGCAUUGCAUGCAAACAGAUUUCUGUAAUUUUCAGUGGCCUCACCUGCUGCUCAACUCAUCAAUUCACACGCUCUGCCUCUGCUGCUCCACUGUUACUUUAUAUUGUUUUCCUUUACAUCACAAAGUGAAAAUUUUGAGAACCUAUCCCAUGGCUUGGAAUAUUCUAACUUCAAAUGUAAUAUAUAUAUAUAUGAAUAUUUGGUAGGUGCAGUAAGAAGUACAUUGUUUUUCUCAAACGAAAACGCGCCAUAUUAGUGAUAAGAGUGAAUAUAAAUAUAAAUAUAAAUAUAUUAUUUAUUAUUUUUAAAGGAUUAAAAGAAUUUUUUUAUUUUAGGAGGUAAAGUAAAUUUUUACCUAAGGUUUGCCAUUUCAUUAUUUAUGAGUAGACUUAACUGAUAAUUUUCUAUUUUGGGGAUAUGUUUUUGCUUUCUCCUUAAAUUCACUUGUAACUAUUGAGAAAAAUAACCACAAAUUUUAAAUAUAAAUGAUAAAAUAAACAUGAAAGAUUAGAAAAGGCUAUAUUAUCAAUAUUGGAUUGAAUUGAGAAUUAAAGAUCCAAUCCAUUCAAUACGUGAAAUAUAAGCAAAAAUAGUUAAAAAUAAUUUUAAAUGAGUAAACCCCCCCAAAUCAAAAUCUAGAAAAAAUGAUUUUUUUUAAAAAAAUUUCACUAUGUUUCUGUUUAUUUUUAUCUUUGAUUUUAGAUAUAUUUUUAAAAAAUUUAAAUGAUUAUUAUUUAUUUAUAUUAAAAUAUUAAAAUAAUUGUGUUAAAUGGAUUGAGAUCCAAUCAGAUUAUUAAACUUUGCGAAGGGAUGAGCUGAUAAUUAAUUGGGUAAAGUGGCUGUGUUUUACAUGGCAAUCUGCAAGUAGAUCUUUUUCCGACAAAAUUUAAUUAUGAAUGUCUUGCAUGAAAACUACAGGUACCUACAAAGACU